rnacentral:lncRNA from 1 species
AAUUCUAUUUUUAUAUAGAUGGCUAGAAAUUAUUUGUGCAUCUUGUGUUGUGUGAUUAUUUCUUUUUUAUAGGCAAAGAAGUUGGGUAGACAACCAACUCAACUUGAACUAUUUCGUGCAACUCACACAAAAAAGGGGAGUCAAGGUGUUUACAUUGAUGAAAAAUCACGACGAGUUGAUGUAAGUUACUUUUGGCUUAUUUAAUGUUAUCACAUUAUUUUUCUAAUUGUUAUGUUAUCAUUAGUUGUGUAUGGUUCAUGAAAUGUUUAUUAUGUUUUCUUUUUUUACUUAGGGAGCUUAUUUGAGUGCAAUUGCUGAAAAUGUGAAUAACAAUUGUGAGAGUCAGUCUGCUUUUGAUUUGAAUAAGUGGAUUGAAAUUUCUGGAAGUAGCAAAGGAAGAGUUUAUGGUUUUGGAUCCUCUGAUAUUGCAAAAUCAGAAACUCCAACUACAUCUUUCUCAUGCACAUCAGCUCAUCCUGGAGGACCUUCUCAAACUAUGUUUUCUUUAGAGGAGGUUGAACAAAUAUUAGAGCAAAAUCGGAUCAAAAUGAAACAAGACAUGGAGCAAAUGCAAGAGCAAAUGCAAGAGCAAAUGCAAGAGCAAAUGCGAGUGCAGAUAGAAAAACAAAUAAAAGAUCAGAUGAAAUCAUUGAAGAACAAAAAUAGAUCUUCACCGCAUAACACAACUGCAGAUUCAGAUGGUUCAACAAAUUCAUAGAUUAGUUUUAAAUUUUAUGAAUAUUGUUAAGUAUUAUGGAUUUAUUUUAAAUUUUAUGAAGAUUGUAAAGUAUUAUGAAUUUAUUUUAAAUUUUAUGAAUAUUGUUAAGUAUUAUUGAUUUAUUUUAAAUUUUAUGAAUAUUGUUAAGUAUUAUGAACAUUAAUUAUAAUUUUUAUGAAUGAUAUUUGAUUUAUAUUCAAUAUGAUUCUUAAUUAUAAAUUAUUUGAUUAUACAGGGAAUAUCUAAAUAAAAGCAGGAAUUUUUUUUUGUGAUCGAAUUUUAACAUACUAGCGACAGAUUUAUGAGAAUAUUUAUUAAAAUGUCUUAAUAUUUCCGACGGAUUUCCGACGGAAACUUUCCGUCGCUAAUUAUUUCUGACAGAUUAGCGAUGGAUUGUUAUAGGAUGAAUUUAGAUAUUCCGACGGAUUUAGCGACGAAAAAACUCGUCGCUAAAAUUUUUCGACAGAAUUAUCCGUCGGAAAACAAAUUUUUCCGACGGAGGUAAGAUCCGUCAGAAAUCCGUCACUAAUAUUUCCGACGGAAGCCUGAUCCGUCGGAAAAAAUUAGCGACAUGACUUUAAGCGACGGGUUUGAGUCCGUCGGAAAUCCGUCGCUAAAAGUUUUAGCGACAGAUUUUUGACUAUCAGCGACGGAAAAAUCCGUCGCUGAUAGUCUUUUUUUUGUAGUGAUAGAGAAAUCCAAUCCUAACUACUCAAACGCAUGAGAUGUUGCUAGAUCAUACAAUUUCCUUGGUUUUUACACCAAGUGUUCUUAUGUUUGAAUAAUCCAAGCAAUUACGGACUUAAAUUACCCAAACUAACAUAUUAUAACCUUGCAAUCAAGAAUCAAUUGGCCAUAUUGAUCAAAAAAACAAAGCAACAAUGGAAUUAAGCAUGACAUUGUAUGAAUAUUGAAUAACAAAAGAUAAACAAUGUUUGAUCAAGUCUCCCAAUCCAUAAAACAACUAAAGCAUCACCUAAUCUUGAACUAGAAUAAAAGGUUUCAGCCUCUCAUGGCUGAAACAAAACCAAAAAUAAAAAAAAAGAAGAAAGGUAGAAGAAGAGAUGUGAAUCCCGUAGGUGUCUCCAAGGUGGUGUGUAAAAGCUAUGUGGAGGCUCCUUAUGUGUCUUUUUAUAGUUGGAAGUGCUGCCCUAGGUCAUACUUGCUUCCUAAUUAGUGAAGAGGCUGCCCAAAGUGCUGAAAAGGAAAGAAUCGCGUUGCAAAUUCUCUAGAAGGAAGGAGGCGCGCAGAUCAAGUUUCAAAAGAGGAAGGAUGCGCGCAGAUUGCAGAAGAGGAAGGAGAGCAUGCAGUAAUUAAUGUGCAGAAGUGGAAAGAAAUCUGUCCAGUCUUUCCUUUUUAGGUGGAGCCUUCGUUUGAAUUUUGAAUGCUGAAUGAAGAAGAGGCAGAUGCAUCUCCUUGAAAUCUUGCUGCCUAAAUAGGAAGAUUUGACUGCUGCAGUGUGUGCAUAUCUUUGAAUGAGGAAAGAAAGAUCUGCGAUUUGAAUUUCAAAUAAUCUUCUGACUGAGCUUUCCUUAUUUGCUUUUGCUUCUGCACUUCCCUUAUUUGAGGACUUUCCUUUUCUGAAAACUUUCCUUAUUUGACACUUUCCAUAAUUGGCUUCACCUUCUGAAUAAGGAAAGAAGAAUCUACAAUUUGAAUUUCAAAGAAUCCGUUGAUUGCGCUUUCCUGUUCUGGCACUUUCCUUAUCAGAAAACUUUCCUUAUUUAGCACUUUCCAUAUUUGAAAACUUUCCUUUUUUUGGCACUUUUCAUAUUUGGCACUUUUUGGCAUUUUUAAGAGCAUUUUCUCCAGAUUGUCUCUUUACACCUAAUAUCUGCAAAACAUGAUUAAAACCACAAAAUUAGGUAGAAAAGGUGUAAAUAAACAUCAAUAAGAUCACGAUAAUAUGGACUAAAAUAUACUCUAUUAAGUACCCUCACACCUUACCUUUUUCUUGUCCUCAAGCAAAUAAACAUAGUUAAACAAGCUUUCUUACUCUAGAUCCUUAUUUCCACUUAAGCUCUUACUCUAAACCCCUAUUUUGAAUCAUUGCAGUGAAGAAUAUAUGCAUGAAGAUUACUCACCUUCUUUCCUUGUUUCCUUUUGCUUACCAUGGCUAGGGUUUGUUUUACUCAAGAGAGAUCAUACAUGCACAUAUUAUUGGUUCAGAUAAGACUUUUUCUAGCUUUCAGAGUGACUUGCCCUUACCUUGAAAUAGUUUAUUCAGCUUUUUGCACUUUUAAUUUUGCUUGAACAAGUCACCAACCUUUUGACGUGAAGGUACAUAUUUGUGAUACCCAUCCCAGUUACUCAGUUGGUCACCUGUCCAAGUGGCUACUAGCUCUGUUCAUAGUCUUUUGACCAUUGGAAUUGUUUUCAAUUUGUGCUUUUGAAGUCUAAGCCUUUAUGAAUUUCUUUCUCUCAAUGAUUUGGGCAAAUCAACAACAAUUGCUAAAUCAAGUCAUGUUAAGUUCAUUCACACAAUUUUCAAUUCAUUCUCUCUAAUGAGUGUCAUCAAUAUAUUUUUCACCAUGGCAAACUCAAAGAUUCAAUUCAAAAGGUAAUUUUCAAACAUGAAUAUAACUCACUGCAAUUGAUUCAACAUAAGUUGAAAGAGUUAUCACAUCAAUAGGGUCAUGGAAAGAAAAGCUCAUCAACAUAGUCUAUCAAUUUGAGUGAAGCAAAUUGGAACACAAAAAGGAAGAAAACUGUGGUUGUGUGUGUUAUUGAAAGCAAAAUGAAAAAUUGAAAAAAAAUCACACUGAAAAUGAAAAUAAAAAUUCAAACUGAAAAUUAAAGCAAAAAUUAAAAAUUCAGAAAUAUGCACCCCCACACCUAAAUCAUGCAUUGUCCUCAAUGUAUAGGAAUUAUUAAAAUGCAAAAGAAACUGAGUACUCCCCUGGGUGUGGUGUGCAUGGUGCGAUCCACUUGAUCAAGGCUCAAGUAAUUGGAGAAGGGAAAAGAGUCCCAACUGCAUUGAGUAAAAAGUGUAGCAGUCCAUUUGAUUUUGUCAUAGCCCAUCCUAUUUUCUCCAUGUACUCAUGAAGCAACAUGAUUAGCUUCUCCUCUUUCAGAUGAGGUGUGCCUCUAGCCCUUAUGUUUGCAUUUUUGAGAUCAGUUGGGUAGAACUUUGAACUCCAAUUCAUGUUUCUCCAUGGCUAGCUGCAAUUUAGCAUUAAGUUCAGGCAAAACAAACUCUACCUUAUCCGGAGGUUUGGGAAGGCAUUGAUCUGCAUGGUCCUUUGGUUUAGGUGCUUGGAAUACCAUUUGUUCCUUGUGAGCAUAGGCUGUUUGCAUUGGAUCUAUGGCUGAAUCGGUUUCAGAAUGCUCCUUCUGCGCAAGAUCUGACUGAAAGGGGAGCUGAAGAGGACUGAUCUGCGAUUGAAGCUGAAAGGAUGCGAUGGAGGUGGCUUCAGGUUGCGCAAAGCUCAUCUACGAAUUCUCCUGAAGAGGUGCGACAGUGCCCUCUUCAGUCUGUGCUUGGCUGCAGUUUACCUAUUGGAUGCAACAGUCAAUUUCUUUCAAUUCUGGCUCUUUCUGGUUCUCUUCCCUGCAAAAAUCAUUGUUUAGCAUAUCAUCUUGAUCAUAAAAAUUUUCUUGGCUCAUACAAUCAAUGAUGUCUAAACUUUUAGCAAGUUCUGUUUGAUCAGUUUGUUUAGGCAAACAAUUUUUUGGUUAUUUUUCUUCAGCACUUUGUUCUUGCACUUGCGAGCUUUCAUCAUCAUCCCAUACAUCUUGAAGUUCUUGCUCUUCUCUUAACAUGUGUGCUUUCACUCUGGUGGUUAUUUGUUCCAUCUGCUGUUGGAGGCUUUGCACAGAAAUUGCCAAUGUCCUCAUCUUUUCUUCAAGGUGUUGGUUGGAACUUGGAGGUUCUGUUUGGGCUUGAUAUCCUUGAUAAUUAUGGUAGUUAUUAUCCCAUGCAUAACUGAAGUCUAGACAGUCUCUCCAACCUGGAUUGUAUGUGUCAUAGUAGGGAUCAUGUCUUGGCUGUUCAUAGAAUCCUCCAUAUGUAUGUACUUGUUGGUCAUACUCAUAACGUGUAGGACAUUGAUCAGUUGGGUGUCCUGCAUAUGAACAGAUCCCACAUGGCCUAGGCGGCUGGGUUGCUUGAAUCUGUUAAACCAGUCCUAUGGCAAAAUCUUUCAUAACAGUUGUCAGUUCAGAAAACUGAAAAAGAGUGGCAGGUGUACUUACCUCAUCCAUGAUUCAGAUCUGCGAUGGUGACUGUGCCUUUAGCGAGAUGUUCGGCGGCCGAAUGAGGAUGAGGUUCGGCGGCCGAAUGUGUUGCAGAAGGUGCUCCUGCGCAAAGGUGGUCUUCAAAAAAAAAAAAUUUUUUUUUGUCCUGAAAGAAAAACAAACAAGUUAAAUCAAUUCCCCGGUAACGACGCCAAUUUUUGACUCGCGGUUGUCGAAGCUGGUCAAAAAUAACCUUUCUGGUUAUCAACAAUUUACAACUGCAGAUAGUGGUAAAAGGAUCGAAUCCACAGGGAAUUGAGAACUUACCUAUUUUCCUUAUCAAGACCAAUAAAAUAAACUGAAACGAGAUAAAAUUGAAAACGAGAUAAACUGAAAACGAGAUAAACUGAAAGCGGAAUAAAAAUAAAUUGCAGUAAAAGUAAAAUGAGAGGUUUGAGAUUGAUUCGAUUAAUAAAGUACUGAAAGCAAUUAAAAUAAGCGAAUAAUAAAAUAAAAGAGAAAUAAAUAAUAAGAAAGCUCUAGUUGAAGAAUUGGAUCCACUUCAGUUGUUGGGAUUGAUCAUUGACACUUAGUUUCUUUUGAUUGAUUCAAUAGAUUAGUUAUGGAGAUGGAAGACGCUUCUCACCACCAUGUCUCUCCUUAUGAUUAAACUAAUUAGGGAACGUCCUCUAAUUAAGUACUAAUUAACAAAUUGCCAAGGAACGUCCUUGGGCCUUAGGCAUCAAAACAAUUAUUAAUUGCAUGAAGAGAUAGAGAGAUCCAAUCCUAACUACUCAAACACAUGAGAUGUUGCUAGAUCAUACAAUUUCCUUGGUUUUUACACCAAGUGUUCUUAUGUUUGAAUAAUCCAAGCAAUUACGGACUUAAAUCACCCAAAAUAACAUAUUAUUACCUUGCAAUCAAGAAUCAAUUGGCUAUAUUGAUCAAAACAACAAAGCAACAAUGGAAUUAAGCAUGAGAUUGUAUGAAUAUUGAAUAACAAAAGAUAAACAAUGUUUGAUUAAGUCUCUCAAUCCAUAAAACAACUAAAGCAUCACCUAAUCUUCAAUUAGAAUAAAAGGUUUCAGCCUCUCAUGGCUGAAACAAAACCAAAAAUAAAAGAAAAGAAGAAAGAUAGAAGAAGAGAUGUGAAUCCCGUAGGUAUCUCUAAGGUGGUGUGUAAAAGCUGUAUGGAGGCCCCUUAUGUGUCUUUUUAUAGUUGGAAGUGCUGCCCUAGGUCAUACUUGCUUCCUAAUUAGUGAAGAGGCUGUCCAAAGUGCUGAAAAGGAAAGAAUCGCAUUGCAAAUUCUCCAGAAGGAAGGAGGCGCGCGGAUCAAGCUUCAAAAGAGAAAGGAUGCGCGCGGAUUGCAGAAGAGGAAGGAGAGCGUGCAGUAAUUAAUGUGCAGAAGUGGAAAGAAAUCUGUCCAAUCUUUCCUUUUUAGGUGGAGCCUUCAUUUGAAUUUUGAAUGCUGAAUGAAGAAGAGGCAGGUGCAUCUCCUUGAAAUCUUGCUGCCUAAAUAGGAAGAUUUGACUGCUGCAGUGUGUGCAUAUCUUUGAAUGAGGAAAGAAAGAUCUACGAUUUGAAUUUCAAAUAAUCUUCUGACUGAGCUUUCCUUAUUUGCUUUUGCUUCUGCACUUCCCUUAUUUGAGGACUUUCCUUUUCUGAAAACUUUCCUUAUUUGACACUUUCCAUAAUUGGCUUCACCUUCUGAAUAAGGAAAGAAGAAUUUGCAAUUUGAAUUUCGAAGAAUCUGUUGAUUGCGCUUUCCUUUUCUGGCACUUUCCUUAUCAGAAAACUUUCCUUAUUUAGCACUUUCCAUAUUUGAAAACUUUUCUUUUUUAGCACUUUCCAUAUUUGGCACUUUUUGGCAGUUUUAAGAGCAUUUUCUCCAGAUUGUCUCUUUACACCUAAUAUCUGCAAAACAUGAUUAAAACCACAAAAUUAGGUAGAAAAGGUGUAAAUAAACAUCAAUAAGAUCACGAUAAUAUGGACUAAAAUAUGCUCUAUCAGUGUCCUAUCAGAUCUGCGAGGGACUUGUGUCACCCUUUCAGUUUCCACAACUGUUUGUGGUUCUGUGGUUCUAUCGGCGGUUCAAUGCUCUUUUGUGGUGCUUGAGUUUCCUCAAGUUGCAUUGUACUCCCACUAAAUCUCUGAGAGAUAAAUUUCUUUUCCAAAAGGUACCAUUUCGAGCAACAAACACUUUGUUCUCUGAGGGAAUAUAGAAAUAAUAUCCUUUGGUUUCCUUAGGAUACCCCACAAAAUUGCACUUGAUAGAUUUUGGAGCUAGCUUAUUUGAAAUUGGGCGUUUCACAUAAGCCUCACAACCCAAAAUCUUAAGGAAAGACAAACUGGGCAUUUUGCCAGUCCAUAACUCAUAUGGUGUCUUUUCAACCGCUUUUGAUGGUACUCGGUUUAGAAUAAAUGCAACUGUUUCCAAGGCAUAACCCCAAAAUGAUAAAGGGAGAUUUGUUUGAUUCAUCAUAGAUCGAACCAUAUUUAAUAAAGUUCGAUUUCUCCUUUCAAAAAUACCAUUCUAUUGUGGAGUUCCUGAAGGAGUCAAUUGUAAAACAAUUCCACAAUUUCACCACCUCGAUCAGAUUGAAGCAUUUUAAUAGUUCUACCAAGUUGAUUUUGUACUUCAUUUUUAAAAGUUCUAAACAUUUCAAAAGAUUCAUGCUUAUGUUUCAUUAGGUAGACAUAGCCAUACCUACUGAAAUCAUCAGUGAAUGUAAUGAAGUACUGAUAACCUCCCCUGGCACUAAUGCUUAGUGGGCCACAUACAUCUGUAUGUAUUAAGCCCAAUAAGUCUGAAGCCCUUUGACCUUGUCCAGUAAAAGGGUCCUUUGUCAUCUUACCAAGCAAACAAGAUUCACAAUUUUCAAAUGAUUCAAAAUCAAAUGAAUCUAAUAAACCAUCUUUAUGGAGCUUAGAUAUGCAAUUUUCAUUUAUAUGACUAAGACGACAGUGCUAUAAAUAUGUUGGGUUUAACUCAUUUGGCUUAGUUUUCUUAGAAAUUAUGUUAUAGAUAUUGUUAUCUCUAGAAUCAUCUAGAUUAAGGACAUAAAGGCCAUCAUAAGAAUUUGCAAUACAAUAAAGCAAAUCAUCUUUAUUAAUGGAGCAUUUCUUAUUCUUAAUAAGAAAUGAAAAACCUUCAUCAUCCAAAACAGAAACUGAAAUAAUAUUCCUACUCAAAGUAGGAAUAUAAAAGCAAUUGUUCAAAACUAACAAAAGACCAUUGGGCAAAACAGGUUCAUAAGUCCCUACAGCUAAGGCAGCAACUCUUGCUCCAUUGCCUACACGUAGGUCCACAUCGCCCUUUUUCAGUUUUCUACUCUUUUUGAGACCCUGCACAUUUGUACAAAUGUGAGAAACACAUCCGGUAUCUAAUACCUAUGAAGUAGAAAUAGAUAAAUUAAUAUCUAUAACAUAAAUACCCGAAGUUGUAGUCUCACUACUCUUCUUCUUCUUACACUCAUCCAAAUAGAGUUUGAAAUUUCUCUUCCAAUGCCCUGGUUCCUUGCAAUGGAAGCAGAUUCCUUCCUUAGGAACUAUUUCCUUAGGAACUUUUGCCUUGGUUUGCCAUUUAGGCUUGCCUCGUCCCUUAGGCCCAUUACCACCUUUAGACUUGGGCUUCCCCUUAUUUUUCAUGGACUUACCCUUAUUGACAUUCAAAAUUCGGGUAGGCCUUUUCUUGACAUUUACCUCAGCUGUUUUUAGCAUCCCAUGCAGCUCAGGAAUGGAUUUCUCCAUAUUGUUCAUGUUAUAGUUCAUGACAAACUGACAAAAACUGCUGGGUAAAGAAUGUAGGAUCAGAUCCGUUAGAGAGUUUUAAACUCAAAGGAUAGCCAAGACUAGCAAGUUGAUCAAUGUAGCCUUUCAUCCUCAAAACAUAAGCACUAACUGAUUCACCUUCAGCCAUUUUGCAAUCAUGCAAUGCAAUGGUGGUUUCAUACCUAUCCUGCCUAGCUUGCUGUUGGAAAGCUUGUUUGAGAUGGACACUCAUCUCAUAGGCCUCAAGGUGCUCCAGAUCCUUCUGAAGUUCUAGGCAUAUAGUUGCCAACAUAAGACAUCCAAUGUCAUUAGAAUCAUCCAUAUGCUUCUUAUGAUUGUUCUUAACAGCAUUAGUAGCAUCAGCAGGAGGUGGUUCUGGGAUAGCUUCAUCAAGUACGUAGGACUUUUUCUCUUGCUUGAGAACAAUUCUCAAGUUUCUAAACCAGUCAACAAAAUUAGUCCCAUUUUCUUUCAGUUUAUCCUUCUCAAGGAUGGAUCGCAGUGAUAAGGUGGAAUUGUUAUUAGCAGCCAUAAUUAUCUACAAAAUAUGCAAAUAUAAUUAAUUUAGUAAAUUAAUAUUGAGGAAAUAAUAAUCUCCCACUAAAAUAUAACUCUCAAAAAUAAUAAUAUUUUAGUGGGCUAAGAUCCAUAUUUCACCUAAUUCUAAGUCAGCUUUGGCAUGACGCUUAGAAUUAAGUUAUUUAGGUAGGUAACUCCUUACCAAUUACAUCUAAUGUAACUCUUAGAUUAUGAGGUGUUUGACAUCAUAUGUCAAAUGCAUGUUAUACCCCAUUUAAUGCCUUAGGCCCAAAACCGUUUUGAUAGCCUAAUUAAGCUCAACCAAAAUUAAAUAAAUGAGUAACUAUUACUCAUCCUAUCUUACUAGGAUAACCUAAGCACUUUGCUUUGGCAAAACCUGCAUUUUGGUGAUCUUAGUCUUGAUAGGUAUUUAAUAUAUGGGUGGCAUUAAAACUUAAAAUUUUAGAGUGAGGGUUCAACUUUUAAUUUUAAUUAUUUUGUCUUGCAUAUAUAUAUAUAUAUAUUAUAGCAUCCUAUAUGCAUACAUAUAUAUAUAGAUUAUAAUGCAUAGUAUCUCAUACUAAUAUAUGACAAAAUAAUAAAAUAUAGUCAUUUAAAUCUGAUUUAAAGACUAAAAGAAAAUAAUAAUUUUAAAAUUUAUUUUCUUAUUAAUUUUUUUUUAUUUUCAGGGGCAGAAUCGUAAUUUGGAGCAUCAUCUUCUUCCUUAGGAAGAAACCCUAGCCGCCCCAUGAAGAUCUCUGCACAUGCGUUGGCAGAUCAACCCCCAGAAGCACACGCAACAUUUGCGCCCCACCGAUGUCCCAUCCGCCACACGUGCGCGACAUUGACGGAAUUGCGAGGGAGGUGACCAAACCAAUUCGUACAGCACUCCCUCCCCUUCGGUGCCAACGAGCGAAACCAGCUCCCACCCACAGCAGCCAUGCAAUCGCCGCCACGUCCGACGAUGAGCUCAGCAGCCACAAAAGUGGCUACUACGCAUGGCAAGUGUGCGAUGCCAGUGAUAGGUGUUCAACACCAUCAUUGGGCGUUUCUUGAAUGUAGCUGUUUUGGCCUUCCCUUCCUCCUCGCGAUCAGCACGUCCCAGCCACGCCAUGCGAUUCCUUGACAUGGAAUGGCAAGCCAGCAAAGGCCCCACCACCGACUCAACCACAUUGAUUAUCUUUGGGCAUGAUGCGGUCCUGUUCGUGUUCUGAUCAUGAGAAUUUGCAGAUUUCAAAUCUCAAAUCCCUUUUUUUUAUUUAAUUUCAUUAAUUUAAUUUUUCUAACAAAAAUUACCUAAAUGAUCUGAUCAUUCAUCCAUAAAUUCGCAUAAUUAAUUUAAACGAAAAGCACAGGUUGGCUCUAAUACCACUGUUGGGAAAUCCCGAAAUUAUUGCAACCCAAAUUGCACAGCGGAAAAAUAAAAUCUCGGAUUUCCUUUCCCAGAAUCCGAGUGCUUCGUUUAUUUCAUAAGAAGGAUAUGAGACUAACCUGUUAAUCUCGUCCAAAAGAUACAAUGGCGGACUGAUGGUGCUACUUUUUCAAACGAACACCCUCUAUGGUAUCCACACGAACGUCUUCUAUCCUUCUAGAGUGCUAGCUCUCUCAAAGAUGGAUAGAUUAUGUGCUCGACAAUAUGCAAUUGUUAGACCGAAUUUUUUUCUAAAAAUUAACAUCAUUUCCACAAUUCGUAGAAGGAGUAUUUAUAUGUUUCAGUCUUUUGUUUUACCACAACUCUUUUUCCAAAAGAGUUGUGUUCAGAACCUACUAUCACAAUCUCACAGAUACUCAAAUAUCUUAUGUGAUAGAGUCCUUUAUCUGUAACAGUUACAGAUAGAUUUGCACAUCUUUUAAAUAUUAUUAUCUUAUAAUAAUAAAUAAUUAAUAAUAAUAACACUUUAUUAUUAUUAAUUAUAUUAAUGAGCUUUGGUCCAUUAAUAUGUCAUAGCACAUCAACAACGUUCUUUUAUGUGCGACCCAAUAGGCUCACAUUAAUUGGCAAUAGGCCCAGUCCCACAAGGCCCAUAAGUCAUUAGUGGCCUCUAGCAAGACAUUAUGACUACCCAACUAAUAUGAGGAUCAAUACUCCGAUAAAGCCUAAUAAAUAGAACAUGUAUUAAUCCCUUUGUCACACGAUAUCUAGUUUGAACAUAAGUCAUGGUCAAUGUCAAACUUAUAAUGUUCAAACUUAUGAUUUCUCAAUCUCUAAGUAGACUGAUAAAUUGAAAUGAUAUUGAUCACACUAUCAAUUCAUUUGAGCAUGGCCAUGCAUUUCUCAGUCUCACUUAUUGAGGGGCCCAGAAGAUAUCGCUCUUAGAGAGGGACAAAUCCUAUCUUGAUUGUUCAUUAUCCUCUACAUAAUUUCUAUUAUACUCAAUCAUAACCUUUAUGAUUGUCCGAUUAAAGACAACGUUUGGUUAUGACAAAAUAUAACAGUCUUUAUGUUGGAAACUAUGACAAUCUCAAGUCAAAGGAUUAAGACAUAACUAUUUUGAGAUUCACUUAUGACAAUAACCCAUGUAGUGAUCUCAACGCGGGUCCAUCCAAUACUUUGUUCUUUAACAAGUAUCUAUGAUUAUUGAAUUAUAUCAACAUAUACAUAAUCAUCUCAUGAUUAUCAAUCAAUAAUCAUACUAGCUAUAUUUUAUUAUUAUCAACAUAAUAAUAACUAACCAGGGAUAAUAAUCAUUAUUAUGUAACAUGCAAACAAAUAAUAAUGAUAAAAAUCUCUUUUAUUAAAAACCAAAAUGACAUACAAAUAGGUACAAGAUAAUGGCCUAGGGCAAAUACACUAAUAACAUCUGUAUGUAUUAAGCCCAAUAAGUCUGAAGCCCUUUGACCUUGUCCAGUAAAAGGGUCAUUUGUCAUCUUACCAAGCAAACAAGAUUCACAAUUUUCAAAUGAUUCAAAAUCAAAUGAAUCUAAUAAACCAUCUUUAUGGAGCUUAGAUAUGCGAUUCUCAUUUAUAUGGCUAAGACGACAGUGCCAUAAAUAUGUUGGGUUUAACUCAUUUAGCUUAGUUUUCUUAGAAGUUAUAUUAUAUAUAUUGUUGUCUCUAGAAUCAUCUAGAUUAAGGAUAUAAAGCCCAUCAUAUGACUUUGCAAUACAAUAAAGCAAAUCUUUAUUAUAAAUGGAGCAUCUCUUAUUCUUAAUAAGAAAUGAAAAACCUUCAUCGUCAAAAACAGAAACUGAAAUAAUAUUCUUACUCAAAGUAGGAACAUAAAAGCAAUUGUUCAAAACUAACAAAAACCCAUUGGGCAACACAAGUUCAUAAGUCCCUACAGCUAAGGCAGCAACUCUUGCUCCAUUCCCUACACGUAGGUCAACAUCGCCCUUUUUCAGUUUUCUACUCUUUUUGAGACCAUGCACAUUUGUACAAAUGUGAGAACCAUAUCCGGUAUCCAAUACCCAUGAAGUAGAAAUAGAUAAAUUAAUAUCUAUAACAUAAAUACCCGAAGUCGUAGUCUCACUACUCUUCUUCUUCUUGCACUCAUCCAAAUAGAGUUUGCAAUUUCUCUUCCAAUGCCCUGGUUCCUUGAAAUGCAAGCAGAUUCCUUCCUUAGGAACUAUUUCCUUAGGAACUUUUGCCUUAGAUUGCCAUUUAGGUUUACCUCAUCCCUUAGGCCCAUUACCACCUUUAGACUUGGGCUUCCCCUUAUUUUUCAUGGGCUUACCCUUAUUGACAUUCACCUCAGCUGUUUUUAGCAUUCCGUACAGCUCAAGAAUGGAUUUCUCCAUAUUGUUCAUGUUAUAGUUCAUGACAAACUGAGAAAAACUGCUGGGUAAAGAAUAUAGGAUCAGAUCCGUAGAGAGUUCUAAACUUAGAGGAUAGCCAAGCCUAGCAAGGUGAUCAAUGUAGCCUUUCAUCUUCAAAACAUGAGCACUAACAGAUUCACUUUCAGCCAUUUUGCACUCAUCUAAUGCAAUGGUGGUUUCAUACCUAUCUUGCCUAGCUUGCUGUUGGAAAGCCUGUUUGAGAUGGACACUCAUCUCAUAGGCCUCAAGGUGCUCCAGAUCCUUCUGAAGUUCUGGGCACAUAGUUGCCAACAUAAGACAUCCAAUGUCAUUAGAAUCAUCCAUAUGCUUCUUAUGCUUGUUCUUAACAGUAUUAGUAGCAUCAGCAGGAGGUGGUCUUGGGAUAGCUUCUGUUGGGAAAUCCUGAGAUUAUUGCAACCCAGUUGCGCUGCGAAAAAAUAAAAUCGCUAUUGAUUUCCUUUCCCAGAAUCUGAGUGCUUCGUUUAAUUCAAAAGAUGGAUAUGAGACUAACCUGUUAAUCUCGUCAAGAAGAUACAAUGUCGGACUGAUGGUGCUGCCUUUUCAAACGAACACCCUCAAUGGUAUCCACACGAACGUCUUCUAUCCUUCUAGAGUGCUAGCUCUCUCAAGGAUAGAUAGAUUAUGUGCUCCACAAUCUGCAGCGGUUAGACUGAAUUUUCUAAAAAUGUCGUCCACCCCCACAAUUCGUAGUAGGAGUAUUUAUAUAUUUCAGUCUUUUGUUUUCCACCAACUCUUUUCCUAAAAGAGUUGUGCUCAGAACCCAUUAUCACAAUCUCGCAGAUACUCAAAUAUCUUAUGUGAUAUAGUCCUUUAUCUGUAACAGUUACAGAUAGACUGCAGAUCUUUUGAAUAUUAUUAUCUUAUAAUAAUAAAUAAUUAAUAAUAAUAACACUUUAUUAUUAUUAAUUAAUAUUAAUAAUAAUAACACUUUAUUAUUAUUAAUUAUACUAAUGGGCUUUUAGCCCAUUAAUAUAGCACAUCAACAACGUUCUUGUGUGUGACCCAAUAGGCUCACAUUAAUUGGCAAUAGGCCUAGUCCAACAAGGCCUAUAAGUCAUAAGUGGCCUCUAGCAAGACAUUAUGACUACCCAACUAAUAUGAGGAUCAAUAGUCCGAUAAAUCCUAUUAAAUAGAACAUGUAUUAAUCCCUUUGUCACAUGAUAUCUAGUUUGAACAUAAGUCAUAGUCAAUGUCAAACUCAUAAUGUUCAAACUUAUGAUUUCUCGAUCUCUAAGUAGACUGAUAAAUUCAAAUAUUAUUGAUCACACUAUUAAUUUAUUUGAGCACGGCCAUGCAUUUCUCAGUCUCACUUAUCGAGGGGCCCAGAAGAUAUCUCUCUCAUAGAGAGGGACAAAUUCUAUCUUUAUUGUUCAUUAUCCUCUACAUAAUUUCUAUUAUGCUCAAUCAUAACCUUUAUGAUUGUCCGAUUAAAGACAACGUUUGGUUAUGUCAAAACAUAAUAGUCCUUAUGUUGGAAACUAUGGCAAUCUCAAGUUAAAGUAUUAAGACAUAACUACUUUGAGAUUCACUUAUGACAAUGACCCAUGUAGUGAUCUUAAUGUGAGUCCAUCCAAUACUUUGUUCUCUAACAAGUAUCUAUGAUUAUUGAAUUAUAUCAACAUAUACAUAAUCAUCUCAUGAUUAUCAAUAAAUAAUCAUACCAGUUAUAUUUUAUUAUUAUCAACAUAAUAAUAAGUAACCAGGGAUGAUAAUCAUUAUUAUGUAACAUGCAAACAAAUAAUAAUGAUAAAAACCUCUUUUAUUAAUAACCAAAACGACAUACAAAAAGGUCCAAGAUAAUGGCCUAGGGCAUAUACACUAACAGCUUCAUCAAGCACCUUAGGCCCAUUAUCUUUCAGUUUAUCCUUCUCAAGGAUGGAUCGUAGUGAUAAGGUGGAAUUGUUAUUAGCAGCCAUAAUUAUCUACAAAAUAUGCAAAUAUAAUUAAUUUAGUAAAUUAAUAUUGAGGUGAUAAUAAUCUCCCAAUAAAAUAUAACCUUCAAAAAUAAUAAUAUUUUAGUGGGCUAAGAUCCAUAUUUCACCUAAUUAUAAGUCAAUUUUGGCAUGACGCUUAGAAUUAAGUUAUUUAGGUAGGUAACUCCUUACCAAUUACAUCUAAUGUAACUCUUAGAUUAUGAGGUGUUGACAUCAUAUGUCAAAUGCAUGUUAUACCCUAUCUAAUGCCUUAGACCCAAAACUGUUUUGAUAGCCUAAUUAAGCUCAACUAAAAUUAAAUAAAUGAGUAACUAUUACUCAUCCUAUCUUACUAAGAUAACAUAAGCACUUUGCUUUGGCAAAACCUGCAUUUUGGUGAUCUUAGUCUUGAUAGGUAUUUAAUAUAUGGGUGGCAUUAAAACUUAAAAUUUUAGAGUGAGGGUUCAACUUUUAAUUUUAAUUAUUUUGUCUUGCUUAUAUAUAUUAUAGCAUCCCAUAUGCAUACCAAUAUAUAUAUAGACUAUCAUGCAUAGUACCUCAUACUAAUAUAUGACAAAAUAAUAAAAUUAUUUUACAUAGUCAUUUAAAUCUGAAUUAAAGGCUAAAAGAAAAUAAUUUUAAAAUUUAUUUUCUUACUAAUAUAUAUAUAUAUAUUUUUUUUUUUAUUUCCAAGGGCAGAUUUGUAAUGAGGGCAUUAUCUUUUUCCUCAGGAAGAAGCCCUAGUUGCCGUUUCUUCACCAAGCAGCAGCCAUGCAAUCGCCGUCAUGUCCGACAAUGAGCUCAGUAGCCACAGAAGUGGCCACUUUCCAUCAUUGCUUCGGGCAUGCAUCAGCUGUGGAUCAUGUCAACACAGAUCACCACCUCCCAUCGCGUGCUCGCCUGUGGCUUUCACAUGUGAUGGUCUGGUCCUCAGCGUUUUCUGGGUUCAAGAUGACUGUUCAUCGGGAGUCCAAUUUUUUUAUUAUUAUUAAUUUAAUUUUUCUAACAAAAAUUAAAAUUAUCUAAAAGAUCCAAUCAUUCAUCCAUAAUUAUCAUGUCAUUCUAAUAAACAUAUAUCGCAUAUAUAAUAUCAAUCAUGACAUAAUUAAUUUAAACGAAAAGCACAGGUUGGCUCUGAUACCACUGUUGGGAAAUCCAAAGAUUAUUGUAACUCAAAGGCGCAGUGGAAAAAUAAAAUUUCUCUGAUUUCCUUUUCCCAUAAUUCGAGUGCUUCGUUUAUUUCAUAAGAAGGAUAUGAGACUAACCUGUUAAUCUCGUCAACAAGAUACAAUGCCGGACUGAUGGUGCUGCUUUUUCAAACGAACACCCUCUAUGGUAUCCACACGAACGUCUUCUAUCCUUCUAGAGUGCUAGCUCUCUCAAAGAUGGAUAGAUUAUGUGCUCCACAAUCUGCAAUAGUUAGACUGAAUUUGUAAUUCCCGGCUAGAGUCCGGCAUCGGAAUUCCUGUCGUCCGGUGGAAUCCAGGAUGUCGGAAUUAUCUAGAAGGGUAAGAUUUAUGUUUUUUCUAAAGUAAAGUAGUAUGUUUUAAUGUUUUAAAGUUAAAAGAACCGAGUUUUUGAGAGAAAAGAACCAAGGCAGAAAAGCCAGGUUCGGCCGCCGAAGGUGACAUUCGGCCGCCGAACAUGCAUGGCUUUCGGUUUCACGAUAGGCCGCCGAAGGUGGUUUGGCCAGCCACCUAUAAAAGGCCCUCAGUCGGUUGAAAGGAUAAGCUUUGCCGCUUUCUUUCACUUUCUGAGGUGAGACUCUGUCUUCCUGAAGAUUUCUUCAUGUGUUCAUUAACUUUUGCAAAGAUUUGAUUGAUUGUUAUGUUAUUUUGAAGGUUUUGAGUUAAAAACACAAAGUUUUGAAGUUUGGAGAGUUUGAAGGAGAGUUGCUCCAAAACUCCACGUUAGGAUCGUUCAUCUUCUUGGUUUCAAGAGGUAAGUGAAGAUCCUGAACUUGUUUUGAUGUUUUCUGAAGGUUUUAUGAGGAUUUGGGAGAGAGUUGCAUGAAUAGGGUUAAAAGGGAGUUUUUGAUGAUUUUGUGAGAAAAACUUGUAUAUGUGUUAUAUGUUUUGUGUUAUUGGGGUUUUAAGGUAGGUUAUGUCCCCUUUGAGCAUAUACUUGGGUGUAUGCAUGUUGAGGAGUUGAGGUGUUUGCGUUUGAGGAAGAUUGGUGCAUUUUGGCGUGAGGCAGAGCAAGGUUCUGCCUUGCUGAUGAAUCCAGCUUCGGCCGCCGAAGAAUGGUUCGGCCGCCGAAUGUGCUGAGGAGGUGGCUUCGGUUGCCUAAACUUGCCCCCGAGCCUUUGGACUUUCGGCUCUGGAGGGGAGUUCGGCCGCCGAAGAUGCCCCCAAAGGUUAGAGACUUUCGUCUCUGGAGUGCCUUUCAGCUCCCGAAACUUGCCCCCGAAAGGGUUCGGCUGCCGAAAGUUGAGAUUCGGCCGCCGAAGGUGCAUGAGUUUCGGCUCUGGAGAGGACUUUCGGCCGCCGAACCUGCCGCCGAAAGUAUCCUGUCCAGCCUUCCUUUGCAUACUUUGCAUGGAUGUUUGAGUGAGUUUAAGGGGAUUCUUGGGGAGUUUUAUAGAGUUGUUCUUGAGCUACUUUGGUCCCUCAUUUGAGCUUAUCUGUGCCUACACAGACCAGAGGAACCAGAGAGAGCAGCAGUGAGUACUGCUCCAGAGUUUACAGAGCCUGCAGAGUCAGUCCAGAUAGCCAGAGGUGAGUGGAACUAAACUUAAUUCUUUUAAUUGAGAAAUGAAAUGCUUUUAGCAUAAUUCAUGCAUCAUGAGUAUGCAGUAGAUUGUUUGCAUUAGAAUCCACGAAUAUGUUGCAUUGCAUCGGUAUUUGUUGGUGUGGGUGAAUGCUGAAUGAUCCAAUAGUCUCUAAGAGAAGUCCAGGAGCCUUUGACUACGCCCUGGCAAUGGUAAGUACACAGGUGUUAUAUACACAUAUACAUAUAUAACAGGAAGACCAGGUGCUCGAUUCUACGCCCUGGCACGACAGAGUUACCGGGACUAUGUGGUGACAGGUUUACCCUUGAUGUGGAUUGUCUGUGAUAUGAUGCAUUCCAUAGGAGCAUAUUUUAAUGACUUGUUUUACUGUUCUACUCACUGGGCUAUAGAGCUCAUCCCACUCCCUUAACCCCAGUCUUGCAGGUUCAGUGUACAGUGUACAGGGAAAGCCAGCAGAAUACAGGAAGAGAGAAGAGUCUUGUAAUAGAAUAUUGUGGACAUGUAAAUGUAAAGAGAUGUAAUAGUUGUGUAUAAAGUUAGAACUUGUGCUUGACUUAGUUAUUUGUGUUGUAAAUCUUUUGUUAUGUACAUGAUCUGUAUAUGUAUAUGUUUACAGAGUAUGUGAGAAACCAGGCUUAACAGGUAUGAGUUAACCCAUCUAGAGCAAGCUCUAGUCAGGGGUACGGAGUACAGAGUAUAGAGUACAGAGUACAGAGUACAGGGUACAGAGAUUGUGCAUGCACAGGUUAGGCCUUGGUUCAGAAAAGAGUUUUUAUUUUCACAGAAAAUGUAUGAUCAUGUAUGAGAUUUACAGGUACACAGAAAGUAUAGUAGGCUUGCUACGGGUUCUGGACCUGAAUCCUAGCGCCGGUGACGGUCCGUUUUGGGGUCGUUACAGAUUGGUAUCAAAGCCCAAGGUUCAAUAUGAUCGGACCUAUAGAGAGAGUGUCGGGCUCAUAGAGGUUAGAGGAAGUCAAGCACAAUAGGGAAACAUGUCCACUAGGAUAGGAUGUUGUGUCCUGUCUAUUUGAUGCUAUGAAAUGCUAUCAUAUGCGUAUGCAUUAUUGAGAUAUAUGAGUGAAAUAUAUGCUGAUAUGCUAUGUUAUGUGUUGUUUUCCAGAGUUAAGAUGAGAGGAACUCAUCGAUCAGCUCGAUUGACUGGAGUCCCACCAGAGAGUGAGAGAACAACUGCUCGUCCUCCUGCAUUGCCGAGGGCAAGGUCUCAGAGAUUUAGCAGGGAAGGUACGUCACUAGACCCUAGAAGGUCUGUAGACGAGAGCAGAAGAGGUACAGUUAGAGGGGGAAGAUCAGAGGAAAUGAGGGAGGCUAUGGAGAUUGACCAGUCUAUAGAUGAAAGCAUAGGUAUGGGUAGAUCUGAAGAAGGUAUGGGAGAGUCGCAGGGAGGUGUUCAGGCCUCAGGUUUUGGCUAUCCAGCCUUUCCUCAAGACCCAGAGUAUCCGAUAGGAGGUAUGUCGGAGUACUCUAGUUUUGUCCCAUAUCCUACUUAUAUGCCAUAUAUGCCUUAUCCUCAUUAUUACCCGCCAUAUCCUAUGUAUCCACCUUCCCCUACCCAUCCAAGUGCAGCACACCCAGAGCUAAAUGAACCAGUACCUCCACCACCACAACCAGAACUAGUAGUUCCUGUUGUCCAAAGACAGCAACCUAGCUCAUCUGGAGGUAAGGUGCAAAUGACGGAGUACCUGAAAUUGGAUGCUCCCAAAGACAACACGGGAGAUGAUCCAUUUGAAUACCUCAGAUCAGUUAGGAUGAUAACCAGUGAAUUGGGAGCAGAUGAUAGUAGAGCCAUAGCAAUGGCAGGGUUUACACUUAAGUGUAAGAAAGCUCGAGAAUGGUUCAAGAACUAUAUGGAGCCCAGGAUGGACAGUAUGUCAUGGGGAGAGUUCGCCAAUGAGUUUGCAGGGUGGGCUUUUCCUGAUAGUUCGAGGGAAAUGAAGGUAAUAGAGUUUGAACAGUUGAGACAAACAGAUGAGAUGAGUGUUGACGAGUUUACAGAUAAGUUCCUGGAUUUGCUUCAGUACGUGGGUCAGGCCUAUGAUACUGAUCAGAAGAAGGCAAGGAGAUAUAUUAUGAGAUUGCAUCCCAGGUAUUCUUCCUUGAUUCUUCCAGCAGAAAAGGAGAGUUUCCACUCUAUAGUGGAUGCAGCCAGGAAAAUGGAAGCAAGUGCCAAUAUUCAGAGACAGUCAAAGGCUCAGGCUUCGGGUUCUAAGGCCUCCAGUUCAGGAAUUUCAGGCAGCAAGGGAUGGGACAGAGCAAAAGGAUCAAAGAGUAAGUUCUGGAAUAAAGUCAAGUCUGGUCUGGGAAUAGGUAGUGGCUCAAGCUCUGGCACAGCUUAUCCAGUAUGCAGAAGAUGCGGAAGACCACAUGGAGGAGCUUGUCGAUUGGGAUCUACAGCUUGCUUUAGAUGUGGACAGGAAGGGCAUAUUGCUCGGGAUUGUCCUCAGGUGACUUUUGUGGCACCAUCCCAGCAGAUGAGUUCGGCAGCGUAGUACAGCCAGGAGCUCCAGCCAUGCCUCAGAGUAGUGGUAGAGGUAGAGGGAGAGGGGCAGCCUCUACUUCAGCAGCAGGUUCCCGAGGUGGAAAUCCGGUAGCCCCAGCACGGAUUUUCACUGUGACACAGGAGGAGGCGAACACGUCGAACACAGUGGUGUCAGGUAAUCUCAUAAUUGGGUGUUCAGAUGUGUAUGCUUUGAUGGACCCCGGUGCUUCUCAUUCCUUUAUUGCUUCGAGAGCCAUAGAGAGGUUGGGUUUGAUGAUUUCUGAGUUAGAGUAUCCUCUCUGGGUCAGUGGACCCAAGUGUGACCCAUCAGUGGUAGCGUCAGUCUGUCGUUUCAGUCCAGUGUUCAUAGAGGGUAGAUGCCUUCCAGCUGACCUUGUGGUUCUAGACUUGACAGAUUUUGAUGUCAUUCUAGGGAUGGAUUGGCUAUCUGCAUAUAGUGCUACCUUGGACUGUAGAGAGAAGGUAGUUAGUCUCAGAGACCAGGAUGGGUCAGAGUGUGUCUUCAGGGGAGACAGGAGAGGUACACCCAAAGGUUUGAUUUCAGCCCUUCAGGCUCGUCGUUUGCUUAGGAGGGGUUGUCAGGGGUUUCUAGCUCAUGUGAGAGAGCUAGACAGACAGGUUAGGGAACCAGCUUCGAUACCAGUAGUCCGAGAGUUUCCAGAUGUUUUCCCAGACGAACUUCCAGGACUACCGCCAGGUAGGGAGAUAGAGUUUGAAAUUGAAUUGCUGCCAGAUACCAGACCUAUCUCUAUUCCUCCCUACAGGAUGGCGCCAGCAGAGUUAAAAGAGUUGAAAGAGCAGUUGUAGGAUUUGGUAGAUAAGGGUUUCAUCCGCCCUAGUACCUCACCUUGGGGUGCUCCAGUGCUUUUUGUUAGAAAGAAGGAUGGAUCCCUCAGACUUUGUAUCGACUACAGACAGUUGAACAAGGUCACUACCAAGAAUAGGUAUCCUUUACCUAGGAUUGAUGAUCUUUUCGACCAGCUAGCUGGAGCGGGUUGUUUCUCUAAAAUAGAUCUGAGAUCCGGGUAUCAUCAGUUGAGAGUCAGAGAGGCAGAUGUGCCAAAGACAGCUUUCAGGACCAGAUAUGGGCAUUAUGAGUUCUUAGUGAUGCCGUUCGGGUUGACUAACGCCGCUGCAGCAUUCAUGGAUCUCAUGAACAGAGUUUUCAGCGAGUAUCUGGAUCACUUUGUUAUUGUUUUCAUUGACGACAUCUUAGUGUAUUCCAGAGAUGCAGAGGAGCAUGCCCAGCAUCUGAGGAUAGUUCUGCAGACACUGAGAGAGCAUGGUUUGUAUGCCAAGUUCUCUAAGUGUGAGUUUUGGUUGAGGAGCAUUUCCUUCUUGGGACACGUGGUAUCAGCAGAGGGCAUUGAGGUAGAUCCCAAGAAGAUAGAGGCUGUAGCUAACUGGCCCAGACCCACUACAGUGACUGAGACUAAAAGCUUUUUGGAACUGGCAGGUUACUACAGGAGGUUCGUUCAGGACUUCUCGAAGACAGCUGCUUUUAUGACCAAACUGACUCAGAAAAACCAGAAGUUUGUCUGGUCAGACCAGUGUGAAGAGAGCUUUGAGGAGCUCAAGAGGAGAUUGACAUCAGCACCAGUGCUAGCUCUGCCUGUCAGUGAUGAGGAUUUCAUAGUGUUCUGUGAUGCAUCUCGAGUGGGAUUGGGCUGUGUUUUGAUGCAGAGUGAUAGGGUGAUUGCUUAUGCUUCUAGACAGUUGAAGAAGCACGAGUUGAAUUACCCCACCCAUGACCUAGAGAUGGCAGCAGUUAUCUUUGCACUCAAGAUGUGGAGGCAUUACCUCUACGGGGUUAAAUGCGAGAUCUUCACUGAUCACAAGAGUUUACAGUACAUCUUGAGUCAGAGAGAGCUGAAUUUGAGGCAGAGAAGAUGGGUAGAAUUGCUCAGUGAUUAUGAUUGUAAGAUCCAGUAUCAUCCGGGUAAGGCGAAUGUUGUGGCAGACGCCCUAAGCCGGAAAUCACUAGGCAGUUUAUCCCAUAUAGCAGCAGAGCGGAGACCAGUAGUGGUGGAGCUUUACAAGCUCAUAGAGGAAGGGUUACAACUAGAGUUAUCUGGUACAGGUGCGUUGGUAGCACAGAUGAGAGUGACACUAGUGUUUCUGGAGCAGAUAGCUCAGAAACAGCACGAGGACCCAGAGUUGAUGAAAAUUGCCAGGACUGUCCAGUCAGGCAACAGUGCAGAGUUCAGAUUUGACAGCAAAGGGAUCCUUCGCUAUAGGAGUCGACUUUGUGUACCAGAUAGUAGCAGUCUGAAAGAAGACAUUAUGAGGGAAGCUCAUAAUGCGAGGUAUAGUGUUCACCCAGGAGCCACCAAGAUGUAUCAAGAUCUGAAAAGGGUCUAUUGGUGGCCAGCCAUGAAGAAAAAAAGUGGCGCAGUUCGUUACAGCCUGUGAGGUUUGUCAAAGGGUGAAAUUAGAACAUCAGAAGCCGGCUGGAAUGCUUAACCCACUGCCGAUUCCAGAAUGGAAAUGGGAGAAUAUAGCUAUGGAUUUUGUAGUGGGCUUACCGGCAGCGUCCAACAGGAUAGACUCCAUAUGGGUGAUUGUAGACAGACUCACGAAAUCUGCUCAUUUCAUUCCAGUUAGGAGUAACUAUUCGGUGGAUAAGUUGGCACAGGUAUAUCUGGAUGAGAUAGUGAGAUUACAUGGAGUUCCAGUGUCUAUAGUUUCAGACAGAGGACCUCAGUUCACCUCCAGAUUUUGGUGGAGUCUGCAGAGUGUGAUGGGCACGAGGUUGGAUUUUAGCAUAGCUUUCCAUCCGCAGACUGAUGGACAGUCAGAGAGGACCAUCCAGACCAUAGAGGAUAUGCUUAGAAUGUGUGUGUUAGACUUUGGCGGUUCUUGGAGGCAGCAUCUACCUCUGGUAGAGUUUGCCUACAAUAACAGUCAUCAUGCUAGCAUCGUAAUGGCUCCUUAUGAAGCGUUGUAUGGGAGGAAGUGCAGAUCACCUGUUUGCUGGGAAGAGGUUGGAGAGAAGGCUCUUGCAGGGCCAGAGUUAGUAGAGAUUACCAGUAGAACAGUGCCUAUGAUCAGAGAGAGGAUCAGAACAGCUCAGAGUCGACAGAAAAGCUAUGCAGACAUUCGCAGGAAACUGUUAGAGUUCCAGGAGGGUAAUUGGGUAUUGCUAAAAGUGUCUCCAAUGAAAGGAGUAGUUCGUUUUGGGAAGAAGGGUAAGUUAGCUCCACGAUACAUUGGACCCUUUGAGAUCUUACAGCGGAUCGGGAAUGUGUCGUAUAAGCUAGCUUUACCUGUUUCUAUGGAGACAAUUCACCCGGUAUUUCAUGUUUCUAUGCUACGGCAGUUUGUGUCAGAUCCGAAUCAGGUUAUUAGUGAGCCUGAUGUGGAGAUUCUUGGGGAUCUCACCUAUAUAGAGCAGCCAGUGCGGAUUCUUGACACACAGAUCAGACAGCUAAGGAACAAGGACAUUCCAAUGGUGAAAGUCUUGUGGAACCACCAUAAUUUAGAAGAGUGUACCUGGGAGACGCGGGAGUCUAUGCUCCAGCAGUAUCCAUAUCUGUUUUGAGGUUAGUUUCCUCCUUUUUAUGUGUUUAUUUGUUUGUUUUAGGAACAUUCGAGGACGAAUGUUCUUAAGGGGGGGAGAGUGUAAUACCCGGCUAGAGUCCGGCAUCGGAAUUCCUGUCGUCCGGUGGAAUCAAGGAUGUCAGAAUUAUCUAGAAGGGUAAGAUUUAUGUUUUUUCUAAAGUAAAGUAGUAUGUUUUAAUGUUUUAAAGUUAAAAGAACCGAGUUUUUGAGAUAAAAGAACCAAGACAGAAAAGCCAGGUUCGGCCGCCGAACAUGCAUGGCUUUCAGUUUCACGAUAGGCUGCCGAAGGUGGUCUGGCCAGCCACCUAUAAAAGGCCCUCAGUCGGUUGAAAGGAUAAGCUUUGCCGCUUUCUUUCACUUUCUGAGGUGAGACUAUGUCUUCCUGAAGAUUUCUUCAUGUGUUCAUUAACUCUUGCAAAGAUUUGAUUGAUUGUUAUGUUAUUUUGAAGGUUUUGUGUUAAAAACACAAAGUUUUGAAGUUUGGAGAGUUUGAAGGAGAGUUGCUCCAAAACUCCACGUUAGGAUCGUUCAUCUUCUUGGUUUCAAGAGGUAAGUGAAGAUCCUGAACUUGUUUUGAUGUUUUCUGAAGGUUUUAUGAGGUUUUGGGAGAGAGUUGCAUGAAUAGGGUUAAAAGAGAGUUUUUGAUGAUUUUGUGAGAAAAGCUUGUAUAUGUGUUAUAUGUUUUGUGUUAUUGGGGUUUUAAGGUAGGUUCUGUCCCCUUUGAGCAUAUACUUGGGUGUAUGCAUGUUGAGGAGUUGAGGUGUUUGCGUUUGAGGAAGAUUUGUGCAUUUUGGCGUGAGGCAGAGCAAGGUUCUGCCUUGCUGAUGAACCCAGCUUUGGCCGCCGAAGAAUGGUUCGGCCGCCGAAUGUGCUGAGGAGGUGGCUUCGGUUGCCUAAGCUUGCCCCCGAGCCUUUGGACUUUCGGCUCUGGAGGGGAGUUCGGCCGCCGAAGAUGCCCCCAAAGGUUAGAGACUUUCGUCUCUGGAGUGCCUUUCAGCUCCCGAAACUUGCCCCCGAAAGGGUUCGGCUGCCGAAAGUUGAGAUUCGGCCGCCGAAGGUGCAUGAGUUUCAGCUCUGGAGAGGACUUUCGGCCGCCGAACCUGCCGCCGAAAGUAUCCUGUCCAGCCUUCCUUUGCAUACUUUGCAUGGAUGUUUGAGUGAGUUUAAGGGGAUUCUUGGGGAGUUUUAUAGAGUUGUUCUUGAGCUAGUUUGGUCCCUCAUUUGAGUUUAUCUGUGCCUACACAGACCAGAGGAACCAGAGAGAGCAGCAGUGAGUACUGCUCCAGAGUUUACAGAGCCUGCAGAGUCAGUCCAGAUAGCCAGAGGUGAGUGGAACUAAACUUAAUUCUUUUAAUUGAGAAAUGAAAUGCUUUUACCAUAAUUCAUGCAUCAUGAGUAUGCAGUAGAUUGUUUGCAUUAGAAUCCACGAAUAUGUUGCAUUGCAUCGGUAUUUGUUGGUGUGGGUGAAUGCUGAAUGAUCCAAUAGUCUCUGAGAGAAGUCCAGGAGCCUUUGACUACGCCCUGGCAAUGGUAAGUACACAGGUGUUAUAUACACAUAUACAUAUAUAACAGGAAGACCAGGUGCUCGAUUCUACGCCCUGGCACGACAGAGUUACUGGGACUAUGUGGUGACAGGUUUACCCUUGAUGUGGAUUGUCUGUGAUAUGAUGCAUUCCAUAGGAGCAUGUUUUAAUGACUUGUUUUACUGUUCUACUCACUGGGCUAUAGAGCUCAUCCCACUCCCUUAACCCUAGUCUUGCAGGUUCAGUGUACAGUGUACAGGGAAAGCCAGCAGAAUACAGGAAGAGAGAAGAGUCUUGUAAUAGAAUAUUGUGGACAUGUAAAUGUAAAGAGAUGUAAUAGUUGUGUAUAAAGUUAGAACUUGUGCUUGACUUAGUUAUUUGUGUUGUAAAUCUUUUGUUAUGUACAUGAUCUAUAUAUGUAUAUGUUUACAGAGUAUGUGAGAAACCAGGCUUAACAGGUAUGAGUUAACCCAUCUAGAGCAAGCUCUAGUCAGGGGUACGGAGUACAGAGUACAGAGUACAGAGUACAGGGUACAGAGAUUGUGCAUGCACAGGUUAGGCCUUGGUUCAGAAAAGAGUUUUUAUUUUCACAGAAAAUGUAUGAUCAUGUAUGAGAUUUACAGGUACACAGAGAGUAUAGCAGGCUUGCUACGGGUUUUGGACCUGAAUCCUAGCGCCGGUGACGGUCCGUUUUGGGGUCGUUACAGAUUGGUAUCAAAGCCCAAGGUUCAAUAUGAUCGGACCUAUAGAGAGAGUGUCGGGCUCAUAGAGGUUAGAGAAAGUCAAGCACAAUAUGGAAACAUGUCCACUAGGAUAGAAUGUUGUGUCCUGUCUAUUUGAUGCUAUGAAAUGCUAUGAUAUGCGUAUGCAUUAUUGAGAUAUAUGAGUGAAAUAUAUGCUGAUAUGCUAUGUUAUGUGUUGUUUUCCAGAGUUAAGAUGAGAGGAACUCGUCGAUCAGCUCGAUUGACUGGAGUCCCAUCAGAGAGUGAGAGAACAGCUGCUCGUCCUCCUGCAUUGCCGAGGGCAAGGUCUCAGAGAUCUAGCAGGGAAGGUACGUCACUAGACCCUAGAAGGUCUGUAGACGAAAGCAGAAGAGGUACAGUUAGAGGGGGAAGAUCAGAGGAAAUGAGGGAGGCUAUGGAGAUUGACCAGUCUAUAGAUGAAAGCAUGGGUAUGGGUAGAUCUGAAGAAGGUAUGGGAGAGUCGCAGGGAGGUGUUCAGGCCUCAGGUUUUGGCUAUCCAACCUUUCCUCAGGACCCAGAGUAUCCGAUGGGAGGUAUGUCGGAGUACUCUAGUUUUGUCCCAUAUCCUACUUAUAUGCCAUAUAUGCCUUAUCCUCAUUAUUACCCACCAUAUCCUAUGUAUCCACCUUCCCCUACCCAUCAACAACGUUUUUUUGUGUGUGACCCAAUAGACUCACAUUAAUUGGUAAUAGGCCCAGUCCCACAAGGCCUGACUCGCGGUUGUUGAAGCCGGUCAAAAAUAACCUUUCUAAUUAUCAACAAUUUACAACUACAGAUAGUGGUGAAAGGAUCGAAUCCACAGGGAAUUGAAAACUUACCUAUUUUCCUUAUCAAGACCAAGAGAAUAAACUAAAACAAAAAUAAACUGAAAGCAAAGUAAACUGAAACGAGAUAAACUGAAAGCGGAAUAAAUUGAAAGCGAAGUAAACUGAAAGCGAGAUAAACUGAAAGCGAAAUAAAUGGAAAGCAAAAUAAACUGAAAGCUAAAUAAACUGAAACGAGAUAAACUGAAAGCGGAAUAAAAAUAAAUUGCAGUAAAAGUAAAAUGGGGGGUUUGAGAUUGAUUUGAUUAACAAACUACUGAAAGCAAUUAAAAUAAGCGAAUAAUAAAAUAAAAGAGAAACAAAUAAUAAGAAAGCUCUAGUUGAAGAAUUGGAUCCACUUCAUGUUGGGAAAUCCUGAGAUUAUUGCAACCCAGUUGCGCAGCGGAAAAAUAAAAUCUCUGUUGAUUUCCUUUCCCAGAAUCCAAGUGCUUCGUUUAAUUCAAAAGAUGGAUAUGAGACUAACCUGUUAAUCUCGUCAAGAGGAUACAAUGCCGGACUGAUGGUGCUGCCUUUUCAAACGAACACCCUCAAUGGUAUCCACACGAACGUCUUCUAUCCUUCUAGAGUGCUAGCUCUCUCAAGAAUGGAUAGAUUAUGUGCUCCACAAUCUGUAGCGGUUAGACUGAAUUUUCUCAAAAACACGUCACAUCCACAAUUCGUAGAAGAGGUAUUUAUAUGUUUCAGUCUUUUAUUUUCACACAAAUCCUUUUCCUAAAAGGAAUUGUAUUUUUCCCACAACUCCUUUUCCUAAAAAGAGUUGUGUUUAUCCCACAACUCCUUUUCCUAAAAGGAGUUGUGUUCAUAACCCACUAUCACAAUCUUGCAGAUACUCAAAUAUCUUAUAUGAUAGAAUCCUUUAUCUGUAACAGUUACAGAUAGACUGCAGAUCUUUUAAAUAUUAUUAUCUCAUAAUAAUAAAUGAUUAAUAAUAAUAACACUUUAUUAUUAUUAAUUAUAUUAAUAAUUAAUAUUAAUAAUAAUAACACUUAUUAUUAUUAAUUAUAUUAAUAAUUAAUAAUAAUAAUAAUAGCACUUUAUUAUUAUUAAUUAUAUAUUAAUAAUAAUAACACUUUAUUAUUAUUAAACAUUAAUAAUAAUAACACUUUAUUAUUAUUAAACAUAUUAAUGAUUAAUAAUAAUAACACUUAUUAUUAUUAAUUAUAUUAAUGGGCUUUGGGCUUUUAGCCCAUUAAUAUGACAUAGCACAUCAACAAUGUUCUUUUGUGUGUGACCUAAUAGGCUCACAUUAAUUGACAAUAGGCCCAGUCCCACAAGGCCCAUAAGUCAUAAGUCAUAAGUGGCCUCUAGCAAGAUAUUAUGACUACCCAACUAAUUAUGAGGAUCAAUAGUCCGAUAAAGCCUGAUAGAACAUGAAUUAAUCCCUUUGUCACACGAUAUCUAGUUUGAACAUAAGUUAUGGUCAAUGUCAAACUUAUAAUGUUCAAACUUAUGAUUUCUCGAUCUCUAAGUAGACUGAUAAAUUCAAAUGAUAUUGAUCACACUAUCAAUUCAUUUGAGCAUGGCCAUGCAUUUCUCAGUCUCACUUAUCGAGGGGCCCAGAAGAUAUCUCUCUCAUAGAGAGGGACAAAUCCUAUCUUGAUUGUUCAUUAUCCUCUACAUAAUUUCUAUUAUGCUCAAUCAUAACCUUUAUGAUUGUCCGAUUAAAGACAACGUUUGGUUAUGUCAAAACAUAAUAGUCCUUAUGUUGGAAACUAUGACAAUCUCAAGUCAAAUGAUUAAGAUAUAACUACUUUGAGAUUCACUUAUGACAAUGACCCAUGUAGUGAUCUCAAUGCGGGUCCAUCCAAUACUUUGUUCUCUAACAAGUAUUUAUGAUUAUUGAAUUAUAUCAACAUAUAUAUAAUCAUCUCAUGAUUAUCAAUCAAUAAUCAUACCAGUUAUAUUUUAUUAUUAUCAACAUAAUAAUAAGUAACCAGGGAUGAUAAUCAUUAUUAUGUAACAUGCAAACAAAUAAUAAUGAUAAAAACCUCUUUUAUUAAUAACCAAAACGACAUACAAAAAGGUCCAAGAUAAUGGCCUAGGGCAUAUACACUAACACUUCAGUUGUUGGGAUUGAUCAUUGACACUUAGUUUCUUUUGAUUGAUUCAAUAGAUUAGUUAUGGAGAUGGAAGACGCUUCUCACCACCAUGUCUCUCCUUAUGAUUAAACCAAUUAGGGAAUGUCAAUUAGGGAAUGUCCUCUAAUUAAUUACUAAUUAACAAAUUGCCAAGGAACGUCCUUGGGCCUUAGGCAUCAAACAAUUGUUAAUUGCAUAAAGAAAGAGAGAGAUCCAAUCCUAACUACUCAAACGCAUGAGAUAAUGCUAGAUCAUACAAUUUCCUUAGUUUUUACACCAAGUAUUCUUAUGUUUGAAUAAUCCAAGCAAUUACGGACUUAAAUCACCCAAACUAACAUAUUAUUACCUUGCAAUCAAGAAUCAAUUGGCCAUAUUGAUCAAAACAACAAAGCAACAAUGGAAUUAAGCAUGAGAUUGUAUGAAUAUUGAAUAACAAAAGAUAAACAAUGUUUGAUCAAGUCUCCCAAUCCAUAAAACAACUAAAGCAUCACCUAAUCUUCAACUAGAAUUAAAGAUUUCAGCCUCUCAUGGCUGAAACAAAAAUAAAAAAAUAAAGAAAAAGAAGAAAGGUAGAACAAGAGAUGUGAAUCCCGUAGGUGUCUCCAAGGGGGGCUUGAAAGAGCAUGGGGAGGCUCCUUAUGUGUCUUUUUAUACUUGAAAAUUGUUGCCCUAGAUGAUACUUGCUUCCUAAUUAGUGAAGAGGUUGCCCAAGGUGUCAAGAGGUUGCCCAAAAGACUUCAAGAGGCUGCCCAAAAUGCCCUUGGUCCAAGAUGUGCCAUCCAUGCACAUGUGAGAAGGGAAAAACGUGGGGCAUGUAUUCAAGUGCAAGGAGUGGGGCCUUUGGUCUUUGCUUGCUGCCCAAGGUGCCCAAGACUUGCCUUCACUCUCUCCUUGCCGCCCAUGCACUAAUAAAGAAGGUGGAGCCUCCUUUGCAAUUUGAAUUUUGAAUGUGCAAGGCAUGAGGUGGCAAGCAUGUGAUCUUUGGAUUUGGCUUCCUUGAUAAGCUGGAUUUUGAAAUUCAAAAUUUAAAUAUGAAUCUUGAAGAUUUGAAAUUCAAAAUGCUUUCCUUAUUUGGCUCUUCAUUUAUGACAAACAUGAGACUUGGCUUCUUGAAUAAUGAAAAGGCUACUUGGAGUUUUGAAAUUUGAAUUUCAAAUUGCCUUGGCUGAAUGUUCUUUCCAUAUUUGCCACUUUCCUUAUUUAGAACUUUCCUUAUUUAGCUUCACUUGAUUUCAACUUGGCAGGCUUGCUCCUUUGCUCCAUUUCAGGCAGUUUUAGAGGGAUUUUCUCCAAAAUGUCAUUUUACACCAUUUUCUGCAAACUAAUAUCAAAAGCACUAAAUUAAGCAGAAAUCAUGUAAAUAAUCAUCAAUAAUAUCAAGAUAAAAUGGACUAAUUUAUGCUCUAUCAAGGCCCAUAAGUCAUAAGUAGCACCUAACAAUACAUUAUCACUACCCAACUAAUAUGAGGAUCAAUAGUCCGAUAAAGUCUAAUACAUAGAACAUGUAUUAAUCCCUUUAUCACACGAUAUCUAGUUUGAACAUAAGUCAUGGUCAAUGUCAAACUUAUAAUGUUCAAACUUAUGAUUUCUCGAUCUCUAAGUAGACUGAUAAAUUCAAAUGAUAUUGAUCAUACUAUCAAUUCAUUUGAGCACGGCCAUGCAUUUCUCAGUCUCACUUAUCGAGGGGCCCAGAACAUAUCUCUCUCAGAGAGAGGGACAAAUCCUAUCUUGAUUGUUCAUUAUCCUCUACAUGAUUUCUAUUAUGCUCAAUCAUAGCCUUUAUGAUUGUUCGAUUAAAGACAAUGUUUGGUUAUGUCAAAACAUAAUAGUCCUUAUGUUGGAAACUAUGACAAUCUCAAGUCAAAGGAUUAAGACAUAACUACUUUGAGAUUCACUUAUGACAAUAACCCAUGUAGUGAUCUCAAUGCGGGUCCAUCCAAUACUUUAUUCUCAAACAAGUAUCUAUGAUUAUUGAAUUAUAUCAAUAUAUACAUAAUCAUCUCAUGAUUAUCAAUCAAUAAUCAUACUAGUUAUAUUUUAUUAUUAUCAACAUAAUAAUAAGUAACCAGGGAUGAUAAUCAUUAUUAUGUAACAUGCAAAUAAAUAAUAAUGAUAAAAACCUCUUUUAUUAACAACCAAAAGACAUACAAAAAAAGGUCCAAGAUAAUGGCCUAGGGGAUAUACACUAACACUUUUCAAACGAACACCCUUAAUGGUAUCCACACGAACGUCUUCUAUCAUUUUAGAGUGCUAGCUCUCUCAAGGAUGGAUAGAUUAUGUGCUCCACAAUCUGCAACUGUUACACUGAAUUUUCUAAAAAUCGUUGUCUCUCCACAAUUCGUAGGAGUAUUUAUAUGUUUCAGUCUUUUUUUUUCCCACAACUCUUUUCCCAAAAGAGUUGUGUUCAGAACCCACUAUCACAAUCUCACAGAUACUCAAAUAUCUUAUGUGAUAGAGUCCUUUAUCUGUAACUGUUACAGAUAGACUACAGAUCUUUUAAAUAUUAUUAUCUUAUAAUAAUAAAUAAUUAAUAAUAAUAACACUUUAUUACUAUUAAUUAAUGAUCAAUAAUAAUAACACUUUAUUAGUAUUAAUUAUAUUAAUGGACUUUGGGCUUUUAGACCAUUAAUAUGUCAUAGAACAUCAACAAUGUUCUUUUGUGUGUGACCCAAUAGGCUCACAUUAAUUGGCAAUAGGCCCAGUUCCACAAGGCCCAUAAGUCAUAAGUGGCCUCUAGCAAGACAUUAUGACUACCCAACUAAUAUGAGGAUCAAUAAUCCGAUAAAAUCUAAUAAAUAGAACAUGUAUUAAUCUCUUUGUCACAGAUAUCUAGUUUGAACAUAAGUCAUGAUCAAUGUCAAACUUAUAAUUUUCAAACAUAUGAUUUCUCGAUCUCUAAGUAGACUGAUAAAUUGAAAUGAUAUUGAUCAUACUAUCAAUUCAUUUGAGCACGGCCAUGCAUUUCUCAGUCUCACUUAUCGAGGGGCCCAGAAGAUAUCUCUCUCAGAGAGAGAGACAAAUCCUAUCUUGAUUGUUCAUUAUCCUCUACAUAAUUUCUAUUAUGCUCAAUCAUAACCUUUAUGAUUGUUCGAUUAAAGACAAUGUUUGGUUAUGUCAAAACAUAAUAGUCCUUAUGUUGGAAACUAUGACAAUCUCAAGUCAAAGGACUAAGACAUAACUACUUUGAUAUUCACUUAUGACAAUAACCCAUGUAGUGAUCUCAAUGCGGGUCCAUCCAAUACUUUAUUCUCAAACAAGUAUCUAUGAUUAUUGAAUUAUAUCAACAUAUACAUAAUAAUCUCAUGAUUAUCAGUCAAUAAUCGUACUAGUUAUAUUUUAUUAUUAUCAACAUAAUAAUAAGUAAUCAGGAAUGAUAAUCAUUAUUAUGUAACAUGCAAACAAAUAAUAAUGAUAAAAACCUCUUUUAUUAAUAACCAAAUGACAUACAAAAAAAGGUCCAAGAUAAUGGCCUAGGGCAUAUACACUAACACUUUUCAAACGAACACCCUUAAUGGUAUCCACACGAAUGUCUUCUAUCAUUCUAGAGUGCUAGCUCUCUCAAGGAUGAAUAGAUUAUGUGCUCCACAAUCUGCAACUGUUACACUGAAUUUUCUAAAAAUCGUUGUCUCUCCAUAAUUCGUAGGAGUAUUUAUAUGUUUCAGUCUUUUUUUUCCCACAACUCUUUUCCCAAAAGAGUUGUAUUCAGAAUCCACUAUCACAAUCUCACAGAUACUCAAAUACCUUAUGUGAUAGAGUCCUAUAUCUUAUGUGAUAGAGUCCUUUAUCUGUAACUAUUACAGAUAGACUGCAGAUCUUUUAAAUAUUAUUAUCUUAUAAUAAUAAAUAAUGAAUAAUAAUAACACUUUAUUAUUAUUAAUUAUAUUAAAGGACUUUGGGCUUUUAGCCCAUUAAUAUGUCAUAGCACAUCAACAAUGUUCUUUUGUGUGUGACCCAAUAGGCUCACAUUAAUUGGCAAUAGGCCCAGUCCCACAAGGCCUAUAAGUCAUAAGUGGCCUCUAGCAAGACAUUAUGACUACCCAACAAAUAUGAGGAUCAAUAAUCCGAUAAAAUCUAACAAACAGAACAUGUAUUAAUCCCUUUGUCACACGAUAUCUAGUUUGAACAUAAGUCAUGGUCAAUGUCAAACUUAUAAUGUUCAAACUUAUGAUUCCUCGAUCUCUAAGUAGACUGAUAAAUUCAACUGAUAUUCAUCAUACUGUCAAUUCAUUUGAGCACGGCCAUGCAUUUCUCAGUCUCACUUAUCGAGGGGCCCAAAAGAUAUCUCUCUCAAAUAGAGGCACAAAUCCUAUCUUGAUUGUUCAUUAUCCUCUACAUAAUUUCUAUUAUGCUCAAUCAUAACCUUUAUGAUUGUUCGAUUAAAGACAAUAUUUGGUUAUGUCAAAACAUAAUAGUCCUUAUGUUGGAAACUAUGACAAUCUCAAGUCAAAGGAUUAAGACAUAACUACUUUAAGAUUCACUUAUGACAAUAACCCAUGUAGUGAUCUCAAUGCGGGUCCAUCCAAUACUUUAUUCUCUAACAAGUAUCUAUGAUUAUUGAAUUAUAUUAACAUAUAUUUAAUCAUCUCAUGAUUAUCAAUAAAUAAUCGUACUAGUUAUAUUUUAUUAUUAUCAACAUAAUAAUAAGUAAUCAGGGAUGAUAAUCAUUAUUAUGUUACAUGCAAAUAAAUAAUAAUAAUAAAAACCUCUUUUAUUAAUAACCAAACGACAUACAAAAAAAGGUCCAACAUAAUGGCCUAGGGCAUAUACACUAACACUUUUCAAACGAACACCCUUAAUGGUAUCCACACGAACGUCUUCUAUCCUUCUAGAGUGCUAGUUCUCUCAAGGAUGGAUAGAUUAUGUCCUCCACAAUCUGCAACUGUUAGAUUGAAUUUUCUAAAAAUCGUUGUCUUUCCACAAUUUGUAGGAGUAUUUAUAUGUUUCAGUCUUUUUUUUUCCCACAACUCUUUUCCCAAAAGAGUUGUGUUCAGAACCCACUAUCACAAUCUUACAGAUACUCAAAUAUCUUAUGUGAUAGAGUCCCUUAUCUAUAACUGUUACAGAUAGACUGCAGAUCUUUUAAAUAUUAUUAUCUUAUAAUAAUAAAUAAUUAAUAAUAAUAACACUUUAUUAUUAUUAAUUAAUGAUUAAUAAUAAUAACACUUUAUUAUUAUUAAUUAUAUUAAUGGACUUUGGGCUUUUAGCCCAUUAAUAUGUCAUAGCACAUCAACAAUGUUCUUUUGUGUGUGACCCAUUAGGCUCACAUUAAUUGGCAAUAAGCCCAGUCCCACAAGGCCCAUAAGUCAUAAGUGGCCUCUAGCAAGACAUUAUGACUACCCAACUAAUAUGAGGAUCAAUAGUCUGAUAAAGUCUAAUAAAUAGAACAUGUAUUAAUCCCUUUAUCACACGAUAUCUAGUUUGAACAUAAGUCAUGGUCAAUGUCAAACUUAUAAUGUUCAAACUUAUGAUUUCCCGAUCUCUAAGUAGACUGAUAAAUUCAAAUGAUAUUGAUCAUACUAUCAAUUCAUUUGAGCACGGCCAUGCAUUUCUCAGUCUCACUUAUCGAGGGGUCCAGAACAUAUCUCUCUCACAGAGAGGGACAAAUCCUAUCUUGAUUGUUCAUUAUCCUCUACAUAAUUUCGAUUAUGCUCAAUCAUAACCUUUAUGAUUGUUCGAUUAAAGACAAUGUUUGGUUAUGUCAAAACAUAAUAGUCCUUAUGUUGGAAACUAUGACAAUCUCAAGUCAAAAAAUUAAGACAUAACUACUUUGAGAUUCACUUAUGACAAUAACCCAUGUAGUGAUCUCAAUGCGGGUUCAUCCAAUACUUUAUUCUCUAACAAGUAUCUAUGAUUAUUGAAUUAUAUCAACAUAUACAUAAUCAUUUCAUGAUUAUCAAUCAAUAAUCGUACUAGUUAUAUUUUAUUAUUAUCAACAUAAUAAUAAGUAACCAGGGAUGAUAAUCAUUAUUAUAUAACAUGCAAACAAAUAAUAAUGAUAAAAACCUCUUUUAUUAAUAACCAAACGACAUACAAAAAAAGGUCCAAGAUAAUGGCCUAGGGCAUAUACACUAACACUUUUCAAACGAACACCUUUAAUGUUAUCCACACGAACGUAUUCUAUCCUUCUAGAGUGCUAGCUCUCUCAAGGAUGGAUAGAUUAUGUGCUUCACAAUCUGCAACUGUUAGACUGAAUUUUCUAAAAAUCGUUGGCUUUUCACAAUUCGUAGCAGUAUUUAUAUGUUUCAGUCUUUUUUUUUCCUACAACUCUUUUCCCAAAAGAGUUGUGUUCAGAACCCACUAUCACAAUCUCACAGAUACUCAAAUAUCUUAUGUGAUAUAGUCCUUUAUCUGUAAUUGUUACAGAUAGACUGCAGAUCUUUUAAAUAUUUUUAUCUUAUAAUAAUAAAUAUCUAAUAAUAAUAACACUUUAUUAUUAUUAAUUAAUGAUUAAUAAUAAUAACACUUUAUUAUUAUUAAUUAUAUUAAAGGACUUUGGGCUUUUAGCCCAUUAAUAUGUCAUAGCACAUCAACAAUGUUUUUUUGUGUGUGACCCAAUAGGCUCACAUUAAUUGGCAAUAGGCCCAGUCCCACAAGGCCCAUAAGUCAUAAGUGGCCUCUAGCAAGAUAUUAUGACUACCCAACUAAUAUGAGGAUCAAUAGUCCGAUAAAGCUUAAUAAAUAGAACAUGUAUUAAUCCAUUUGUCACACAAUAUCUAGUUUGAAUAUAAGUCAUGGUCAAUGUCAAACUUAUAAUGUUCAAACUUAUGAUUUCUCAAUCUCUAAGUAGACUGAUAAAUUCAAAUGAUAUUGAUCACACUAUCAAUUCAUUUGAGCACGGCCAUGCAUUUCUCAAUCUCACUUAUCGAGGGGCCCAGAAGAUAUCUCUCUCAGAGAGAGGGAUAAAUCCUAUCUUGAUUGUUCAAUAUCCUCUACAUAAUUUCUAUUAUGCUCAAUCAUAACCUUUAUGAUUGUCCGAUUAAAGACAAUGUUUGGUUAUGUCAAAACAUAAUAGUCCUUAUAUUGGAAACCAUGACAAUCUCAAGUUAAAGGAUUUAGACAUAACUACUUUGAGAUUCACUUAUGACAAUAACCCAUGUAGUGAUCUCAAUGCGGGUCCAUCCAAUACUUUGUUCUCUAACAAGUAUCUAUGAUUAUUGAAUUAUAUCAUCGUAUACAUAAUCAUCUCAUGAUUAUCCAUCAAUGAUCAUGUUAGCUAUAUUUUAUUAUUAUUAACAUAAUAAUAAGUAACCAGGGAUGAUAAUCAUUAUUAUGUAACAUGCAAACAAAUAAUGAUAAUAAAAACCUCUUUUAUUAAUAACCAAAAGGACAUACAAAAAGGUCCAAGAUAAUGGCCUAGGACAAAUACACUAACAGGAGUUCCACCUAAAAAUGAGGGCAUGGAUGCCCUUCCUCCUACUGCUCCGUCAAGAGCACGGUCGAGUAGGACUAAUAGGGGUGAAAUAUCAAGGGACCCUAGAAGGUCUUUUGAUGUAAACAGAAGAAGAACAGAUUCGGGAAGGAUGUCUACAGAUAUUAGGGAAACAGUGGAGGAUGAUCAAAGAAGAGACGAAAGUCUGGGUGUGAGUUUUUCAAGAGAGGGUAUGGGAGAAUCUGAAGGAGGCGCUCAAGCCUCGGGAUUUGCUUACCAACCCUACCCACAGAGACCCAGGUAUCCAAUGGGAGGCCCAUCGGAUUACUCUAGCUAUCACCUAUACCCCUCACACAUGCCUUAUCCUCCCUAAUACCCACCAUAUCCACCCUAUCCCAUGUUUUCACCUCCACCCUUUUAUUACCAUAAUCCAGCAAACCCUAAUCCAAGGAAUGCUACACCACCUCCUCCCCCAGCAGAGCCAGUGAUUCCUAAAGCUCAACCACCCAAACCUAACCCAUUAGUAGGGAGCAAAGUCAAAAUUACAGAUUACAUGAAGUUGGAUGCUCCAAAGUACAAAUAGGGUGAUGACCUAUUUGAAUACAUCAAAGCAAUUAAGAUGAUAGCCGAUAAGUUAGGGGCCAGUGACAGCAGAGCCAUUCAGAUGGCAGGGCUCACUCUAAAGUGCAAGAAAGCAAAGGAAUGGUUCAAGAGUUAUGUGGACUCGAAACUAGAUAGCCUAUCUUGGGAACAGUUUGCAAAUGAGUUUACAGGGUGGGCUUUUCCAAACAGUUCGAGGGAAUUGAAAGUAAUAGAGUUUGAGUAGUGUAAUACCCGGCUAGGCUCCGGUAUUGAAAUUCCUACCAUCCGGUGGAAUCUCGAAUGUCGAAAACUUCUAGAAAGGUAAAGUCAUGUUUUCAUAAGAUGUUUUAAGGUAUUUUAUGGUUUUAAGCAAGAAAGGAAAUGAGUUUUGUAUGAAAAUAAUCUUGGAAGAAGACCCAGGUUCGGCCGCUGAACCUCAAGUUCGGCCGCCGAACCUCAAGUUCGGCUGCCGAACAUGCAUGCAUUUCGGGAGUGCUUUAGGCCCCCGAAGGUAUGAGAGAGGGAAAUCCAGGUUCGACCGCCGAACAUGGCAUGCAUGCGGAGGCACGUUAGGCCCUCGAAAGUGGCCUGGCCAGCCACCUAUAAAGGGGUCCCCAUGUCCGAACGGGUGAGCUUUUCUCCCCGUUUUAGGCCAAGGUGAGUUCUCCGCUGUCCCUCAUCGAUUUUGAGCUUCUUCCUUCGAAUCUUCAUGAUUUUCUUAUGAGUUUUCACUUGGUUUUGAAGAUUUUGAGCUUAGAUCGAAGUUGUGAAGCUUGGAGACCUCAAGAACCCAUCCUCCCCAAAUCUCCAAGUUAGGUCACACUCUCUCUCGAUCUUCAAGAGGUAAGAGUUGAUCUUGAGCUCAUUCUAUGUUUUAAACAAGUUUUAAGAGGAUUCAUGGGGCAGAAAUGCAUGUUUAGGUUAUUGUUGAGUUUAUGGGUUUAUGUUAUCUUUAUGAGCAAUGUGGGUAAUAUGUGUAUGUUUGAUGUGUUUUGGUUGGGGUUUAAGUUAGUUUGAGACCCCUAUGUGCUUGUUGGCUUGAGUUUGCAUGUUGUAGACUUGAGUUUGCAUGUUGUAGACUAGGUAAAUGCAUGAUGGAAUGGAUUGGGAGGCAUUUGUGCAUGAAAGAGGCUGAGUUCUGCCCUUUGGAAGAACUCAAGUUCGGCAGCCGAAGGGACUUUCGGCCGCCGAACCUGCCUAUGGAGGCCAGCCUUUGGCUGCCGAACCCUGCCCUCGAAAGUGAACUUUCGGCUCUGGAAGGGAGUUUUGGCCGCCGAAGAUGCCGUCGAACAUGCAUGAGUUUCAUCUCUGGAGGGAACCUUCGGCCGCCGAAAGUGCCGCCGAAGGUGCAUGACUUUCGGCUCUGGAGGGCCUUUCGGCCGCCGAACCUACCGCCGAAAGUGCCCUGUCCAGCCUUCCUUUGCAUGAUUUCUAUGAUUGUUUUAAGGUGUUUUAGGGGGUUUUUGGGGAGUAUUUUAGAGUCAUGUUCAUGGAUGUUUGGUCCCUCAUUUGAGUCCACCUGUGUAGGUUCGGACCCAAGGAACCGAGGGCCUCAGCAGUGAGAUAGCUGCUUCAGAGUCAUUAGAGCUUCAGCCAAAGGUGAGUGGAAUAACUCUUUAUGUUUCAAAGCAAUUAAAUAAAUUUUGAGCAUGAUACAUGCAUCACGUAUGCCAUGAGAUAUACUAGGUUAUUUGCAUUAGAAUUCACGAAUAUGUUGCAUUGCAUAACUUGAUGAUGAUGUGGAUGGAUGUUGAAUGACCCUUUAGUCCUCGUAGGAUAUGAUAUGAUGAUGAUACGGUAUGGAAGACCAGUGAGGCCCAUUCUACGCCCCUGGCAUAGUUGGAAUGUUAUGUUAUGUUAUGUUAUGUAAGAGAAAGACUAGUGAGGCACAUUCUACGCCCCUGGCACAGUUGGACUAUGUAGAGGACUAUUGGUGACAAGUCCAUCCUUGAUGUGAUUUGUUUGUGAUGUGUUGCAUUUCAUGAAAGCAUGAAAUUUAAAUUGAAUGUUUAUUUAUUCUGCUCACUGGGCUUUAUAGCUCACCCCUCUCCCUUAACCCCCAGGUUUGCAGGUACAGGGUAGACCAGGAGGUCAGCAGGAGUAGAGUCAUGUUUUAUGUAAUAGUUAGAUGUGGACAUGAAUAUGAUGUAAUGUAAAAGUAUAGUAUAGAAAUGUAAUAUAAUGAUGCUUAUGGAAGUUUAGAGUUAUGCUUGACCAUAGUAUGUUGUUAAUCCCUUUUCAGUACAUGAUCUUAAAUGUUUAAUGAUGAUUAUGUAAACCAAGCUUAAUGUAUGUUAUGAUACCCCAUUGGAGUAUUUGAUGAGGACUCCAGUGAGAGGUUUUAUGUUAUGAUUUGUGCAUGCACAGGUUAAGCUUGGUGAAGGAAUGAAUGAAUGAAUGAAUGAAUGAAUGAAUAAAUGAGAAAGUUUUAAAUUUUUAUGUAAUUGUUGAUCAUGUAUGGGAUUAAACAGGCUUGCUACGGGUCGCGGCGGCCUUAAGCCGAUCUGGAUCCUAGCGUCGGUAGCGGUCCGAAUUUCGGCUCGUUACAGAUUGGUAUCAGAGCCCUAGGUUCAUAUGGUUAGACCUAGAGUGUCGGGCUCAUAGAUGUUCUAGAAGGUCAAGCACAAUAGGAAGAUCAUGUCCACUAGGAUAGGAUGUAGAGUCCUGUCUUGAAUGAUGAUGUGAAAUGCCAUGAUAUUAUGCAUGUGCAUUGAUGAUAUGCUAUGUAUGUGAUGCGGGUUCAUGUGUUUUCACAUGAACCAUUUGAUGCUAAUGUUGUGCUAUGUGUGCUGUUUUUCAGUAAACAAGAUGAGAGGAACUCGUCGAUCUACACGAUUGACUGGAGUACCACCGGAGGAUGAGGGCAUGAGUGCCCGUCCCCCUGCAUUGCCAAGGGCAAUGUCUAGCAGGUCUAGCAGGGAAAGAGCAGUGAGAGACCCUAGAAGGUCUUUGGAUAUGAACAGAAGCAGAUCAGUAAGAGGAACAGUUCAAGGAAGAAUGUCAGAGGAUGUGGGGGAUGAUAUAGAUGUGGAUCAGAGGAGGGAUGGCAGUCUUGGAGUGAGUAUGUCGGAAGAGGGCAUGGGAGAGUCCCAAGGAGGCACUCAGGCCUCAGGAUUUGUUCAGCCACCCCAGUACCCACCCUUUUCUCAGAAUCUAGGGUAUUCGAUGGGAGGUACAUCGGAUUACCCCAGCUUUAGCCCUUACCACUCACACAUGCCAUACCCACCUUUCUACCCACAGUACCCUAUGUACCCACCCCUAUCCUUCUACCCAGGUACAGCAAACCCUACCCCAGGGGAUGCUGCACCUCUUACACCACCAACAGCACCUACUGUCCUAGAAACCCAAAUGCCUAAACCUAGCUCAUCUGGAGGGAGCAAGGUCAAGAUGACCGACUACAUGAAGCUGGUUGCUCCUCAGUAUGAAACCGGUGAUGACCCGUUUGUGUACCUUGAGAGGGUCAAAACGAUUACAGAUGAGAUAGGAGCUGAUGACAGUAAAGCCAUUCAGAUGGUUGGGUUCACACUAAAAUGCAAGAAGGCCCGUGAGUGGUUCAAGAACUAUGUGAACCCGAGAUUGGACAGCCUAUAAUGGGAGGAGUUUGCAAAUGAGUUUGCAGGAUGGGCUUUCCCUAACAGUUCAAGGGAGUUGAAGAUGAUUGAAUUUGAGCAGUUGAGGCAGUCAGAUGAGAUGAGUGUGGAUGAGUAUACAGACAGAUUCUUGGAGCUGUUGCCGUUUGCUGGGCAGAAUCUGGACACAGAUCAGAAGAAGUCAAGGAGGUAUAUCAUGAGGCUCCAUUCCAGGUAUUCCUCCUUGAUUCAGUCAGCGAGAGGGAGAGUUUUCAUGCCAUUGUGGAUAUGGCUCAGAGGAUGGAGGCUAGUGCAAUAAUCGAGGGAAAAGUUAAACAGCCAGUGGCACAGCCUUCUGGUUCCAAGACCCUUGGUGGGGGCAAGUUAGACCCUUCUUCUCUGAGUUCAGCUAGUAAGAGGUGGAGCAGUACCGCCAAGAAGUCAAAGAAGAACAAGUUCUGGAGCAAGAUUAAGUCAGGUCUGGGAUUGGGAAGUGGCUCGAGCUCAGGUGCAGAUAAUGCAGUAUGUAGGAAGUGUGGGAAGCCGUACAAGGGUGUAUGUCUGGUUGGGACGACAGCCUGCUUCAAAUGUGGGCAGAAGGGACACAUGGCUCGGGAGUGUCCUAGAGCAGCUAUUAUGGCACAGUCUCAGCAGAUAGCUUCUGGUAGUGUGGCUCAACCAGUAGCUCCAGCCGCGACUCAGGCCAGUGGCAGAGGCAGAGGGAGAGGGGCAGCCUCUUCUUCAGCGGGUUUCAGAGGUGAAGGUCCAUCAGCCCCAGCACGGAUCUUCACAAUGACACAGCAGGAGGCAAAUGCAUCAAACACCGUGGUGGCAGGUAAUCUCAUCAUUAGUUGUUCUGAUGUUUAUGCCUUAAUGGACCCUGGUGCAUCACAUUCUUUUAUUGCUCCAAGGGCCAUUGAGAGGUUGGGAUUGAUGGUCUCUGGGUUAGAGUGUCCCCUAUGGGUCAGUGGACCCAAGUGCGCCCCGUCAGUGGCAGAGUCAGUCUGCCAGUAUAGUCCAGUUUUUGUUGAGGGAAGAUGCCUUUCAGCCGACCUUAUGGUUCUAGAUUUGACAGAUUUUGACGUCAUUCUAGGGAUGGAUUGGCUAUCUACCCAUGGUGCUACCUUGGACUGCAGAGACAAGGUAGUCAAGUUCAGAUGUCAGGAUGGGUCAGAGGUUGUCUUCAGAGGAGACAGGGGGAGUACACCUAGAGGUUUGACAUCAGCCCUUCAGGCUCGUAGGUUGCUCAUGAGGGGUUGUCAAGGUUUUCUGGCUCAUGUGAGAGAGCUGGAUAGUCAUGUGAGGGAGCCCGCCUCAAUGCCCGUGGUCAGAGAGUUUUUAGACAUUUUCCCAGACGAGCUGCCAGGUUUACCACCUGCUAGGGAGAUAGAGUUUGAAAUUGAGUUGAUGCCUAGAACCAGACCGAUCUCUAUCCCUCCCUACAGGAUGGCACCAGCAGAAUUGAAGGAGCUUAAGGAGCAGUUGCAAGAGUUGGUAGAUAGAGGCUUCAUCCGACCGAGUACCUCACCUUGGGGUGCUCCAGUGUUGUUUGUGAAGAAGAAGGAUGGAUCCCUCAGACUUUGUAUCGACUACAGGCAAUUGAACAAGGUCACUACCAAGAAUAAGUACCUGUUGCCGAGGAUCGACGAUCUAUUCGACCAGUUAGCAGGAGCAGGUUGUUUCUCCAAAAUAGAUCUGAGAUCUGGGUACCAUCAGCUGAGGAUAAGAGAAGAGGAUGUGCUGAAGACAGCAUUCAGGACCAGAUAUGGGCACUAUGAGUUCCUUGUGAUGCCGUUCGGGUUAACCAAUGCCCCUGCAGCAUUCAUGGAUCUCAUGAAUAGAGUUUUCAGUCAAUACCUGGAUCACUUUGUUAUUGUCUUCAUAGAAGAUAUCUUAGUGUAUUCCAGGAAUGCAGAGGAGCAUGCCCAUCAUCUGAGGUUGGUUUUGCAAACCUUGAGGGAACACGGCUUGUAUGCCAAGUUCUCUAAGUGUGAGUUCUGGUUGAGGAGCAUUUCAUUCUUGGGGCAUGUUGUGUCAGAAAAUGGAAUAGAGGUGGACCCUAAGAAAGUGGAAGUUGUAGCUAACUGGCCUAGACCCACUACAGUGACAGAGAUCAAGAGCUUUUUAGGUUUGGCAGGUUACUACAGGAGGUUCAUACAGGACUUUUCAAAAAUUGCAGCUCCUAUGACCAGACUGACUAAGAAGAACCAAAGGUUUGUGUGGACCGACCAGUGUGAGGAGAGCUUUGAGGAGCUAAAGAAGAGGUUGACUUCAGCACCAGUGUUAGCUCUGCCAACUAGUAAUGAAGACUUCACGGUUUUCUAUGAUGCGUCCCGUGUGGGACUGGGUUGUGUGUUGAUGCAGAAUGAAAGGGUGAUUGCUUAUGCUUCUAGGCAGCUGAAGAAGCACGAGUUGAAUUACCCUACACAUGACCUAGAGAUGGCAGCUGUAAUCUUUGCACUCAAGAUGUGGAGGCACUACCUUUAUGGGGUAAAAUGUGAGAUCUUUACAGAUCAUAAGAGCCUGCAGUACAUCCUGAGUCAGAUAGAGCUGAAUUUGAGGCAGAGAAGAUGGGUAGAACUGCUCAGUGACUAUGAUUGCAAGAUUCAGUACCAUCCGGGUAAGGCAAAUGUUGUGGCAGACGCCUUAAGCCGGAAAUCACUUGGCAGUUUGUCCCAUAUUUCAGCAGAGAGAAGACCAAUGGUGAGGUAGUUCUUCGAGCUCAUUAAUGAAGGUCUACAGUUGGAGUUGUCUGGUACAGGUGCUUUGAUUGCCCAAAUGAGAGUGGCACCCGUGUUUCUGGAGCAGGUGGCUCAGAAAUAGCAUGAGGACCCAGAGUUAGUGAAGAUUGCCAGGACUAUUCAGUCAGCCAAGAAUGAAGAGUUCAGGUUUGACAGUAAGGGGAUCCUCCGCUAUGGGAAUAGAUUGUGUGUACCAGAUGACGUGAGUCUGAAGGGAGACAUUAUGAGGGAGGCUCAUAAUGCCAGAUACAGUGUUCACCCGGGAGCCACCAAAAUGUAUCAAUAUCUGAGAAGAGUUUAUUGGUGGCCAGCUAUGAAGAGAGAAGUGGCACAGUUUGUGUCAGCCUGCGAAAUAUGUCAGAGGGUGAAGCUGGAAUAUCAGAAGCCGGCUGGAAUGCUUAACCCACUACCUAUUCCAGAGUGGAAAUGCGAGAAUAUAGCUAUGGACUUCGUGGUGGGGUUACCGGCAUCAUCCAACAGGUUAGACUCCAUAUGGGUGAUUGUGGACAGACUGACCAAAUCUGCUCACUUCAUCCCUGUCAGGAGUGGCUAUUCUGAGGACAAGUUGGCGCAGGUGUAUGUAGAUGAGGUUGUCAGGUUGCAUGGGGUUCAUGUUUCAAUAGUGUCUGAUAGAGGACCCCAGUUCACCUCCAGGUUUUGGCGGAGUCUGCAAAAUGCUAUGGGUACCAGGUUGGAUUUUAGCACUGCUUUCCAUCCACAGACGGACGGACAGUCAGAGAGGACCAUCCAGACAAUAGAGGAUAUGCUCAGUAUGUGUGUGCUGGAUUUUGGCGGUUCUUGGAGGCCGCAUCUACCCUUGGUGGAGUUUGCCUACAAUAACAGCCAUCAUGCUAGCAUAGGGAUGGUUCCAUAUGAAGCUUUGUAUGGAAGGAAGUGCAGGUCACCUGUUUGCUGGGAAGAAGUUGGAGAAAGGGCCUUGACAGGGCCUGAGCUUGUAGAGAUCACCAGCAGAGUGGUGCCCAUAAUCAGAGAAAGAAUCAGGACUGCUGCAAGCAGGCAAAAGAGUUAUGCAGAUAUCCGCAGAAGGCAAAUAGAGUUUCAGGAGGGGGAUUUGGUAUUGCUCAAGGUGUCUCCAAUGAAAGGGGUGAUUCGGUUCGGGAAGAAAGGUAGCUACCUCCACUGUACAUCGGACCCUUUGAGAUCUUGCAAAAGAUUGGGAAUGUAUCGUAUAAGCUAGAUUUACCUGCUUCAAUGGAGAGAAUCCAUCCGGUUUUCCAUGUUUCUAUGCUACGAAAGUUUGUGUCAGAUCCGGGUAAGGUUCUUAGUGAGCCUGAUGUGGAGGUCCAAAAGGAUCUCACUUAUGUUGAGCAGCCAGUGCGGAUUCUUGACACUCAGAUCAAAAAGUUAAGGAACAAGGAAAUCUCGAUGGUGAAAGUCCUUUGGAAUCACCACAACAUCGAAGAGUGUACCUGGGAGACACGGGAGUCCAUGCUCCAGCAAUAUCCUCAUCUCUUUUAAGGUAAGUGUUAUGUGUUUUAUGUAAAUGUUUAUGUUUUAUGCCAUGCUAUGUUUGUUUGGUGAACAUUCGGGGACGAAUGUUCUUAAGGGGGGGAGAAUGUAAUACCCGGCUAGACUCCGGUAUCGGAAUUCCUACCGUCCGGUGGAAUCUCGGAUGUCGAAACCUCUAGAAGGGUAAAGUCAUGUUUUCAUAAGAUGUUUUAAGGUAUUUUAUGGUUUUAAGCAAGAAAGGAAAUGAGUUUUGUAUGAAAAUAACCUCGGAAGAAGACCCAGGUUCGGCCGCCGAACCUCAAGUUCGGCUGUCGAACAUGCAUGCAUUUCGGGAGUGCUUUAGGCCCCCGAAGGUAUGAGAAAGGGAAGUCCAGGUUCGGCCGCCGAACCUUAUGUUCGGCCGCCGAACAUGGCAUGCAUGCGGAGGCACGUUAGGCCCCCGAAAGUGGCCUGGCCAGCCACCUAUAAAGGGGUCCCCAUGUCCGAACGGGUGAGCUUUUCUCCCCGUUUUUGAGUUCUCCGCUGUCCCUCAUCGAUUUUGAGCUUCUUCCUUCGAAUCUUCAUGAUUUUCUUAUGAGUUUUCACUUGGUUUUGAAGAUUUCGAGCUUAGAUCGAAGUUGUGAAGCUUGGAGACCUCAGGAACCCAUCCUCCCCAAAUCUCCAAGUUAGGUCACACUCUCUCUCGAUCUUCAAGAGGUAAGAGUCGAUCUUGAGCUCAUUCUAUGUUUUAAACAAGUUUUAAGAGGAUUCAUGGGGCAGAAAUGCAUGUUUAGGUUAUUGUUGAGUAUAUGGGUUUAUGUUAUGUUUAUGAGCAAUGUGGGUAGUAUGUGUAUGUUUGAUGUGUUUUGGUUGGGGUUUAAGUUAGUUUGAGACCCCUAUGUGCUUGUUCGCUUGAGUUUGCAUGUUGUAGACUAGGUAAAUGCAUGAUGGAAUGGAUUGGGAGGCAUUUGUGCAUGAAAGAGGCUGAGUUCUGCCCUUUGGAAGAACUCAGGUUUGGCAGCCGAAGAGACUUUCGGCCGCCGAACCUGCCUGUGGAGGCCAGCUUUUGGCUGCCGAACCCUACCCCCGAAAGUGAACUUUCGGCUCUGGAAGGGAGUUUCGGCCGCCGAAGGUGCCGCCGAACAUGCAUGAGUUUCGUCUCUGGAGGGAACCUUCGGCUGCCGAAAGUGCCGCCGAAGGUGCAUGACUUUCGGCUCUGGAGGGCCUUUCGGCCGCCGAACCUGCCGCCGAAAGUGCCCUGUCCAGCCUUCCUUUGCGUGAUUUCUAUGAUUGUUUUAAGGUGUUUUAGGGGGUUUUUGGGGAGUAUUUUAGAGUCAUGUUCAUGGAUGUUUGGUCCCUCAUUUGAGUCCACCUGUGUAGGUUCGGACCCGAGGAACCGAGG